AUAGUGAAGCUACUGAAAGUAGAAUUAGUGAUGGUACUAUUGCAGGAGGGUCACCUGAAGAUUGUUCUAUUCAAAAGGCUGCCUAUAGUGAAUCGGAUAUUAGUGACAUUUUGGUUGCUCCUGAAGCGACCAAUAAACCACCAGAGUCUGAUUCCACUGAUGAUUCUUUAGCGGCCUCGAGCAUUCAGAGUGAAAGUGGUAAUGCUACUCCCGAAACCAACGAACCAGAUGCAGAGAACCUUCUUGACAACGUUUUUCCUGAACAGUCAGUUUCUAAUGCUAAUUCAGAACGUUUAAGCACCGGUGAAGGUGGGGUUUCUGGCUUGGGUGAAAGAGAAAAUUCAAACUCUUCAUUGGACCCCACUUCUGUCGAGCCUUCAAUAUUAAAAAUCCCAGUUGAAUCAGAGUUGGAUGCAGGCAUCAUCCAUGAAGAGUAUAUAGAUGAUAAAAGCUCGGUUUCAACCAAGGAUGUCGAGCCGAACAAUGUUCUUGGGGUUCCAGUUGACAUGGAUGAUUUACAUCCCACUAUGGAAAACAAAAAUGGAACUGCCUCGAGUGGAGCUGCUUUGGUGACUGAAGCAGCUUAUCAACUUGCUUAUGAAAAACAUAGCAAUGAUUAUGAUGAUAUCAAUCUUAACAGAGCAUUUUUUGACUCUACAAAUCCUGGAAAAUUUUUCACUUCAGCUGGUAUUCCUGCUCCAUCUGUUGUUUCCGCAGCUCUGUCGUCACUUCCAGGAAAGGUUUUGGUUCCUGCUGUUGUCGAUCAACUUCAAGGUCAGGCAUUAUCAGCAUUACAAGUUUUAAAGGUACUUUAUCAGAUUGCUCUAGUAACUAAAUUCUGUUUUGUCAAGAUUGGCUGCGUGGUUUCAAGUUGCUUCCAGUUUUAAAUUUGAUUUUAUCUUUCCAUUUGGACACUAACUUUAUUCCGUUUCCAAAGAAAACGGGAAAAUGUUAUUUUCUCAUAGUUCCUCUCACGUAAAAAUGUGAAGUGGUUUCUGACCCAUAUAUAUUUAUCCAAUGAGAAUUUACUGAGUCUUUUUAUUUUCUGGACACAAAACAUAAAGGAAAGCUAUCAAAGCAUAGAAAUGUUUAAAAUAAAAUUACUUUUCUGUAGUAAGUAAUUUACACGACAGUUGCAAGCGUAGAGGAACUCACGGAAUGAAUGUUUUUAUGUAUAUAUGAAAUGAAUUAAUUUUAAAUUAAUAUACUUGAAAAUGAAAAAUUUUAAAAAAGAACCAGGCACCGUGGAACUUCAUCAACACUUUGUAUUUGGACGAAAACCAAGCACACCCAAUUAUUGAGCUAAUCUCUUAUUCAGCAAUGGCUCCACACAUUUUCUACAAGCAAUUUCUAACUGUUGUUGAAAAUUCUUAAAGAACAUUUUAAUCCAAAUUAAACCAGAAAUGUUCUAAAAGCCAAAAGACUCGUUUGAAUUCUUCCACACACAGGUCUGCACACCCAUAUUAUUGUUCGAGUACAGAGUUCGUACAAUAAUAGGCUACACUUGUAGCCUUUACUUCUUCGUUUUAAUUACUGAAAAUAACCCAUUCAAAUAGGGAAAUCAAAGAUGAUGGUCGCAUUCCUUUAGUAGAGAUUCAGCCGUAAAUUUUAAAUUUCAUGCUUGAUUGUUUCCGAGCUCAGUUUUAAUUUAUUGAACUCUUAUAGGUUAUUGAGACUGAUGUUCAACCAGGAGAUAUAUGUACUCGGCGAGAAUAUGCUCGUUGGUUGGUUUUAGCAAGCAAUGCUCUUUCAAGGUAUCAAUUCCUCUUGUUUUAUAAUGGGCGGUGGAAGAUAUUAAUAUGUACUGUUUGAAUUUGUUAUAGAUAAAGGAGUGGCUACAGUUUCUCUGAAUUUCUUUUUAGGAACAUAGCUUCAAAAGUCUAUCCGGCGAUGUACAUUGAGAACAUUUCUGAACUUGCAUUUGAUGACAUUACACCUGAAGACCCUGAUUUCCCGUCCAUUCAAGGUAGUGACUCAUCUUUUGGGUAAUUAUUCAGAAUUUUGGUGGGAUUUGAAUGACUUUCCUUUUUUGCAUUAUGGUUUAUGAAUCAGUGGGAUGUUUUCAGGAUUGGCAGAAGCCGGACUUAUUGCCAGCAAGCUUUCAAGACGUGAUAUGCAGUCAUCUUUAGAUGGAGACCCAAGUCAAGUAUUCUUCUCUCCUGAAAGGUAGUUAAUUUAUUUGCUCACGCAUAUUUGUCAUGCUUUUAUCAAACAAUUGGCUUUUUAAGCUCAUUUAAGAGUAUGUUUUGUAGAGACUUUUGUAGAUUACUAGUAGGCCCUAUGCAAUUUGUUGGUGAGAAGUGAUAAAGUCUGUGGAUCCUAUGGAAUGUGUGAUUAAAAAUGCUGUUUGGCCAGCGUAGAUUAUAAUUUAAGCUUUGCCAAAUAUACACUUAAUUGAAAUAGUUUAAUGAAUCAAGAAUAGCAAAAGAAAAGGAUAUGUGGAUGCUUAUCUAGGAACUGUAUCUAGUAUUUGGAAAAUUUUCUUGUUGUUUUCUCAUGUCUAUUUGCAUGUCUAUAUUUUUCUCUGAUAUAAUUUUUAUAAAUUGAACAUUGUCAUCAUAUUCUUGAUUAUGUGGUUUCAUGUGUUGUUUUAACUACAACAUCCUACGGAACCUUUUUCUGCUUGGGACUUUAGCACUCAGAAUGUUACUCUCCUCUUAUUUAUUGCCUCGUGUCUCAUUUUUACUUUCUGGAUCUGUUCCUUUACUCAAAUUGAUGUUGCCUGUGAAUAUAACAUCUGGGCAUUUGACAUUUUUCACUUCCUCCUCUUGAGCUAUUCCUGAAAUUGUUGUGUUGCAGCCCUUUAUCUCGUCAGGAUCUCGUGAGUUGGAAGAUGGCCCUAGAAAAUAGGCAGCUACCAGUAGUUGAUAUAAAGGUUAUAAAAAUUUGAUAAUGGUUACUUUUGUUUUCUUAUUGUGGAUAGCAUAGAGAUCAUUAUGAAUUUCCAAUCAGCCUGCCCUUUCCUGCAACCAGUACUUGCAGCAGUUAUCCGGUUUCAUAGAUAUUGACAAGAUCAACCCUGAUGCAUGGCCUGCAAUUGUAGCUGAUUUAGCAGCUGGAGAACAGGGGAUUAUAACCUUAGCACUUGGUGAGUUUCAUCCGUGUCAAUAUGUCAUUCCAUCUAACAUUUACUUUCUUAUAUAGAGUUGAGCUGUCCUAUUACUAUGAUAGGAUAUACAAGAUUGUUCCAGCCAGAAAAACCUGUAACGAAAGCUCAAGCUGCUAUUGCCCUUGCAACUGGUGAUGCUUCUGCCAUUGUUAGCGAGGAACUUGCACGUAUUGAGGCAGAAUCCAUGGCUGAAAAGGCUGUAGCUGCUCACAGUGCCCUAGUGUCUCAAAUUGAGAAAGAUCUCAAUGCAAGUUAUGAACAGGAGCUUUUUCUUGAAAGGGAAAAGAUUAAGACUGUUGAGAAAUUGGCAGAGGAGGCGAGACGAGAACUUGAGAGGCUGAGGGCUGAACAGGAGGAAGAAAAUCUUGCCUUGAUGAAGGAACGAGCUGCUGUUGACUCAGAAAUGGAAGUUCUUUCCAAGUUAAGGCGUGAGGUGGAGGAGCAGUUGCAGACCCUUAUGAGUAAUAAGUUGGAGAUUUCCUAUGAAAAGGAAAGGCUUAACAAGCUCCGGAGGGAUGCGGAAACUGAGAAUCAAGAGAUAUCACGGUUACAGCACGAGCUGGAAGUUGAGCGAAAAGCCUUAUCCAUGGCUAGGUAAGGAAUUAGCUUUCAUCUUUUUGAGUAAAAGCUUAUCUUUGUGUGGGAAAUUAUAUAAUCUAUAUCAUGAUUGAGGGAUUGCAUAAAUGUAUAUCACAAACUUUGAAAAUGAUACCCCCUCAAUAAUUCACGUUCUAAUUUGCUUUUAUCUUGGUCAUUGUUUAAUCAGUGUACAUUGGUCAUAGAUGAGCCUCUCAUUUCUUUUCCCUUUUAGCCAACCUCUCUGCAAGGUCACUUAUGACCAUUUUUUAUUACAAUUUUGCACUGGUUCGUUAUUACGCACUUUUGCCAGAAUAUCAAGGCAAAAAAUACAAAACAAACCAUCAAAAAUUCAAUACAAGCUUCUUUAUUAUGUGGCUUAAAAGAUUCCGUCAUAAAUUGUUUCUUGUGGUCAAUAUUGAUAUAUCUCUGUAAUUUCCUUCCUUAUAAUUUUACCUUUGUUUUCUGGAGAAAUUUUUCCCCCUUAAUAGCAAAAUAAGGAACAUAUAAAUUUACCAGGUAAAGACAUCCUAUUCUUUUAACUGGAGAAAUUUUUCCCCCUUAAUAGCAAAAUAAGGAACAUAUAAAUUUACCAGGUAAAGACAUCCUAUUCUUUUAACCCAGAUUUAAAACCUUAUAAAUGCAUUACCAGGUAUCUUUGCAAUGACAGAAUCCGGUCAAACAUUUGAUAGUUGAACUACUGACAUAGCCUUAGUCAGAGCUAAAAUAGGCUGGUUUGUCUCGGUUAUGCUGAUGGAUAUGUAAUUCGGACCAAACAUGUCGAAAGAUCUGCUCCUGUGCACAGUACAGAAUUUAUGGAAAGUUUAUCAUGUGAUAUACGAAGAAAUCAUUUUUAACUAUCCUCCACAUUUUUUCAUUGCUUCUGGUAGAUAGCAGAAGAUUUGAACAACGAACUCUCCGAGAAAUUUAGGAAGGGUUUGGUCAGAAAGACUUGAUUGCAAUUUUGGUUUUAAUCUAUCUAUGAAACAAUCCAAAAGGUGGGGGGAACAGAGAAAAAUAUGCUUCAUGACGUAGAAGGAUAUGAAAAAUAAUACAUGAAGUGAUGAUUCUAUUAUUUCGUUUAUAGUUUUAAAAUUCCUUACCUCAUUUUAUGUGUAUCCUACUCAGAGCUUGGGCUGAAGAUGAAGCGAAAAGGGCAAGGGAGCAAUUGAAAGUCCUGGAGGAGGCCAGAGAGCGUUGGGAGAAGCAAGGUCUUAAAAUUGUGGUUGACAAUGAUCUACGCGAAGAAGAAGAUGCCGGAGUUACAUGGCUUGCUACUGGAAAGCAGCUCUCAGUCGAAGGAACCAUUGAAAGGUCUGAAAACUUAGUGGACAAGCUUAGGGCGAUGGCAGACGAAGUGAGAGGUAAAUCGAAAGAUACUAUUAAUAAAAUCAUUGAGAAAAUACUCUUCCUGAUAUCAAUUUUGAAGGAAAAGUUCUUAAAGAUGAGCAGAGGGGCAGUAGAGAUGAAAGAUUCUGCUAAAUUGAAAAUGGAAAGUUCUUUACAAGAGUUGAGGCAAAAUUCUGCUGAAUUUACUUCAGCUGUUAAGGAAGGCACUAAGCGAGUUGCCGGAGAUUGGAAAGAAGGGGUCGAGAGAAUAUCCCAGAAGUUCAAGACAUGAAUUCAUGUUGCAUUUUUGUACUUGAGUAGACUUUAAUGGCCGCUGCAAAGCUUCUUUACUGCUUGUUGGGCUUCUGUUUACUAAAAUGGAAGAAUGCAGUACAAAAAACUGAUAGAGCAUCAAUAAAUGUUGUCUUCAUUGAAUAAUUUUUGUAAAGGGAAUUGUAGAAUUGUAAUAUUUCCUUGUACAAAACUCGAUUAAUUAAACCAAUAUGAAGAAUAAAACCCUGCUUCUUGUGCUUAGAUUAGAAUUAGAGAUUAAAAUUAGAUUUUUAGUAUAUUUUGAUAAACGUUUUUGAAAUGUGUGAUUCAAAAGUUGUGAAAUCUAUAAAAUAUAUGAUUAAUUUUGAUUAUUUGACUUUAACUUAAAUUAAAAUUUGAUUUAAAUCAAUACCGAGGCUAAAUAAUAUUUUUUUAAGCUUUGAUAAACAUAAAUAUAACAUUUUUAAGCUUAGAUAAACAUAAUAAUGAAAUUUACUAUUUGUACAACGAUAUGUAGAGGCCCCUCACUGGGUGGGAGGGAGGGUCUCGUGAGGGGAUGGUACACGAAUGUGUACAUAGAGCAUGGCCCUAGUUAAAUUAAGUCAAUGUUCAGUACAAAAUUUUUAAAAAAUAUAUUUUUCUUCCACAUUCAUUUUAAAGCAUUUUUAUAAUAAAAAAAUUAUAAUCGUUGAUUAAUAACAUUUCUUAUUUUUUAAUUGAACAUUUUUCCAAAAAAAUAAAUAAAUAAAUAAAAUCGAAAUCUAUUCUCGAUAAAUCUACAUUAAACAUGUUCCAAGUAUCACACUAUCCAAUUGUAACACUUUAAUUAUUGAAGGUGUUAAGUAUAAUAUACUAUGAAAUUGAGUAGAGUGAAAGAAAAAUUAGUUUUAACUAUUAAAAAGACUGUAGAAAUCGCCUAAACAUGAAAUGAUUAAGUUUGAAUAUCGCCUAUUUAAUUAUUGAAAUUACUUAAACUAAUUAAUUAUUGAUUUAAAAAUUAUAUCAUAUUUUAGGAGGCGAUACAGAUAUUGGAACAGCUUACCAAUCGGGUUAUUUUGACGUACAUAGUUCUGUGAGUGAAAAAAUAUAAAUAUUUUUAAAGUAUUUAUAAAUUAAGUAUAUUGUUAAAGCAUGUGCAAUUAUAUGCAAUUAUGUGCUCGAAUUAUAUGGUUAUUAUGGAAAUAUCUUUUAUUAUGAUACAUGUGGAUUUUAAAGAUUGUAUACGGUAUAUUGUGAAUUGAAAUAUGAGGUAUGAUUUUGAGAUCGACAAGAAAAGUACCCAUGAUUAUAUAUUUCUUCUAAUUCACUGAGAGGCCUUGGCCGUGUUCUAUACUACACUGAGGGGUCUUGGAUCAGGGAUGAAGGGGCCUCGACUGUGUACAUAUAGUUCACUGAGGGGCUUUGACCGUAUUCUAGAAUUGAUUAUGAGAGAUCUUUAAGACCAGCUUUCGUUCACGAAGGUGCCUUCGGCGAAAGUUCUUAGCCCGAGGGGCAGAUUACAGAUUUUAGUCAGAGGGUACAUUUUUUUAUAGAUUUUUCAGUACAUUUGAUGUGAUGAGAUCAUAACAUGAUUACCAGCUUAUGUUUAUAUCAUGACUUGAGAUGAUAAUUUACUACGUUAUGUAAACGUCUCACAUUUUGGCUAUAAUUAUAUGAUGUUAUCUUACGAGUUAUCAAUGACAUGAAUUCAAUUUUCAAUAAAAAUAUAAAAAUGAAAAAAUAUAAUUAUUUUCGAACUUCUCCACUCACUGAGCUAUCAACUCAUAUAUAUUUUUGUAAUUUUCCUACAUGUGGAAACUGAUUCUUUUUAUCUGAAAGAGCCUAAUGAUUUCAAAAUGAGAGCCGCACGACAUGUUGAGUGUUAUAACUCAUUUUGAAGAAGCACAAAGUAAAUAAUUUGGGUCCAUUGCAUUAUGUUUUACAUAAGCAUUUGAUUUUGUUGCAUUUUUUAAAUAACUCAUAGUCAGCCUUAAUGAUAAAUUUGACAUCUAGUCAGCAUUUAUUAUCGGCGCACGUCACGUUCCGGGUCCACUAAGGUAAUUCGGGACGGGUUGUAUCACCAAUGGUACAAAACUGAUAUUUCGAUAGUCUCAGAUUUUUGAAUUAUAAGAGCAUCUCUCAUACUUUCAUAUAUUGUAAUUUAGGUGUCAUUUAAAUAAUAAAAUUUCGAUAUAUGUGACAUUAAUCUUUAAUAAAUAGUUUGUUUAGUUCAAAUUUUAUCUUCUAUAAAAUUUGUUGUAAUAAUAUUUAAUAGGAGAGAAAAUGUUAGAAACAUGAAAGAGAUUCUAUUAUGGUGACGCACUUCAUCUACAAGAGCUUAUAUUUAGGCGGACUUCUUAACAAGCUUUUUUCUUGCUACUUCAACUAAAUAUAGACAUGAUGCAUUGGAGAUUAAGCCUAUUUUAGUUUUUAGCUUAUGCAAUAACCAUUAUAUUUCAAUCCACAUUAGCAUUGAAGAUGUUCUAAUAAUUUUAGAGUAUCUUCAAUGCUAAUGUGGAUUGCAAUAAAAUGGAUUAUAACAUAAGUUAGAUAAAUGUCUAUAAAAGUUCCUUUUUGAUGUAACAUGUCUAGAUCUAUUUACGACGAACGUGACAAGAAAAAGUAGACAUUGUCAAGAUAACAGUCUAAAUGUAAAGAUAUCUAAUUUAAUAUUUCUCUUUAUCUAUCCUAUUUAUAGAAGAACUCAUGAAGAUAAAUCUAAAGUUUAUCUAUUUAUCUAUCCUAUUUAAACUAAAAUGACUACAGUUAAACAUUAAUACCACAUAAUCAAAAGUUUAUCUAUCUAAAUACUACGUAAAUUUCAUUCCAUGAAAUGCAUUAGAUAUGCUCUUAUGGUCACGAACCCCUUUUCUAUCAUUGCUUUUUUGUAGUUGGAGAAUGGUUACAACUAAACAAAUAGCUAGAUAACAUAGUCUAACAUACCAAAUUUACAAUAAUUUAUUUUAGCUUAUAAAAGGAAAAAUAAGUCAUUGCAAGCUUGUUCCCAACCACCAGGCCUACUACCCAAGUAUGCUUGCAUGAUGGUCCCAUUCAAAUAUGACUGUAGCCUCUAAACAACAGACAACAGCUGCAACAUCAGUUCUACUCAGCUCAAAAGGACACAAGUAGCAAAUAACUAAUAUUAGCAGCCCCCGUCUUGAAGAAUUUGGAUGAACCAAUUACCCAAAAGGAUAUCUAACCAGAAUCAUAAACCUCGAAAAAUCACAGCUAGAUAGCCAACAACAGAAAAUAUUGCUUCAUACCAACUCAAUUACCUUUGAUCGUGAAGUCUUGAAUUCUCAAGUCUCAACUUCAUGUAUCCAAAUCAAGCUAUUCUCAAUAUCCCAAGCUGGAAGUUUCGCAUCACAGUCUUACAAUUCAAGUCUAGAGUCCACAAGCUUGUUCAGAACAAAAGCAGUUAGCAGAAGCCCAACAAGCUUUGAGUCACGAGAUGGGUUGCAUGAUAGAUUUUAAAAGUAACGCCAACAUAAAGACCAAAAAAUAAGUUUCUUGAUUUAAUAAUGUUGAAAGACCAACACAAUGUACUGAAAGCUAGAUGAAAAUGCACUAAAACAACUUCCAAUCAAAAACUCAGAUUCAAGAUACUUCCAAUACUGAAAGCCUAAGAAAAAAGGCUUCACUUAUUCUUUUCACCGCCUCCAGCAGCUCUGCAUAAAUUUCCCAAACAAUAUAAAAUGAAAGAAUCAAUUACAUUAAGAGACAGUUUGAUGUAGAUUUUUUAGAAUAGAUUGUGGAAAAUCAUAUUUUUGGAGAAUGUAUGGUUAGAAAUAGGGAAGAGUUAUGAGUUCACAAAAAAUAUUUUUAUUGAGAGAAUGUAAGGUUAAAAAUAAGUUUGGGUAUCAAACACGGCUAAAACCAUGACAAAUUCCUGGUAUUAUCACACAUGGAAAGAACAAUAAUAUCAUUCAUGAAAAUUACCUCAUCUUGCGAAGGACGCAAGACAUCUCCUCUCUCUUCUUCUUCGCUCUCUUGUGACUGCCCAACUUUCUUUUAGCGACUUUCAAAGCACGUUUGUCCUUUACAACUUUCAAAAGCUCAGUAAUCCUUUUCUCAGAUGGUGCAAAUCCCCGCAACUUCCCUGAUAAGGCUCCUUGCAAAAUGCACUCUCUUGCUCGUUUUCUAAAUAAAUCAAUAGAUCAAGAAACAAGAAUUAGAAUCCCAAAUUUUGUACAGCACGGGUAUGAAUUCGCAUCUAACUACUAGCUAUUAAACGAAUUAUUUCAUCCUCUUCAAUUUUUUGUGAAUGUUAGCCCAUGCUUACAAACCUAAGAACUAAUCUACUUAACAAAAGUCUGAAUUUUUUGAACAGGCUGGGUAAAUGGUUGUUAAUAGUGCUGUACAGCACUUAAUAAUAAACAAAUCAAGAACCAAUGAUUCAAGAAACCACAAUGAUUCAAGAAACCAUCUUGCAGCUUAAAUUCAGCAUGCACACAAUAUAUCAAUUCAUCAUUCUUGUUGCAUUUUACUGGAAUUAAGAGAAUACCCCCAAAAUGCCUUUGACUUUACUCUCCAAUUUUUAUUUUAUUUUAUUUUAUUAUUAUUUUUUAACGAAGUUAUAUGUUAUCAGAAGCUUGAUCUGCUAAACAAAAUACUAUAAAAUGAUCAAAAUGCGUGGACCUGGAAUGGCCAUGCAUAAUCAAAACCAAUAGGAGACUCUUUGGGAAGAACUAUCCGGAAAAAAGAAAAAUUAUAAUAAACUAGCCAAAAGGCGUAGAGAAACUCACGCCUUUUCUAGCAGACGGGCGGGGAGCCAGAUCCUUUGGGGUCACAACAUGGCCUUUGUUCAAACCCACAAACAGACCAGUGUUUGGCUGCUUUGGAGCCAUUACCUAUAUUCGGAAAAGUAAAGCACAGAUGCAUUUAGUUAUUUCUCUUACAUGUUUAUCACAAAAAUAUCAAAUAACUAACGCUAUUCCCUUAAUCUAAUUGAAUCAAAGAAACAAAAAUAUUUCCAAGAAUACUCGUAUAGCUUUAUAAACAGAAAUGUUAACUUUGAGCAUCAAUUCAGUGGUGGAGCCACCUGGGUUCCAUGGGGGCGACCAGUUUUUAAGUCAAGCAGAACACAAUAAACAAAAGCAUAAAAAAUUCAAGACAAAGGUCUUCGAAAAAAUCACUGUUGCUAGAGGAAGAUUACAAUCAAGAAACAACAAUUUUGAAAAAAAACAAAUAAUUAUAAGGACUUGAGUUGAAAUUAAACCAUUCACAAUAAUCAGAUUUAGUGCGAUUUCAACAUAAAAACGUUUUACACAGACGAAAAUCGGACAGUACCUUCCAACCUUGAUGAUGAAGAAGUUUAGUAGAAAUCACUGUUACACAAUAUGUCUCCGUUUUGCCUCUCCCCGAGUUUUUAGCAGAUACUGAUGAAGAAAACCUUAGCCGGUUGAAUAGAUGGUGGAAUAAUUAUAAGGACUUGAGUUGAAAUUAAACCAUUCACAAUAAUCAGAUUUAGUGCGAUUUCAACAUAAAAACGUUUUACACAGACGAAAAUCGGACAGUACCUUCCAACCUUGAUGAUGAAGAAGUUUAGUAGAAAUCACUGUUACACAAUAUGUCUCCGUUUUGCCUCUCCCCGAGUUUUUAGCAGAUACUGAUGAAGAAAACCUUAGCCGGUUGAAUAGAUGGUGGAACGUUUAUUUCAAGUUAUUCUAAAAUAGUUUAUAGACGGUGUAAAAAUAAUAUUUGGUAUCAAUUUGUUGAUGGGUUUGAUGAGUCUCGAGCGAAUUAAAGAAAAUAAAAUUUCGCAUAAAAAUUUAAGAAAAUAAAAUUGUACUCUCAAAACUCAUUUUUUAUGAAUUAAAUUUUUUAUAAUGAUAAAUUAUUAUAAAUGAGCAAUAUUUUUUAUAUUGCAUUUGAUACAUAAAUUUAAAACCCAUUAAAAUUUCCAGAUACGAAUAUGAAUAAAUUCAUAUAUAAUAACUCUAAAUUCAUAUAAUUCAAGAUUUAUCAAGUGAAAAUUCAUUGAAUCUAGAUUAAUGUAAAUAUUAAUUAAUUGAGAAUUAAUAAUACAAAUUUCACAAACAAAAAUAAUUAUAUACGAUUUAUUACAUAUCAAAAAACGAAAAAUAAGGUAUUAUUGAAAUAAUUAAAUUGUAAGGGAGUUAAAAUCGUCCAAAAAAUAAUUCUCUCUUGAUGUAAUACUUUAAUAUAUUAUGGAACCGAGGAAGAAAACCUUAGUUGCUUGCUCCCCUUUGCUCUAUGAAUAUGACACUUAGGUUAUAGUUGGAUAUGCAUGACUUUUGGGCUUUUGCAGAUUAUUCAUUUAUUUGUGUAGACUAGUCAAAGUUGAACGUGCAUUCUAAAAUACUUUAUAAAUGAUGUAAAAGUAAUAUUUGAUUCCAAAUUGUUGGAGGAUUUGAUGAGUCUCGUACGAAUUAAAGAAAAUAAAAUUUCGCAUAAAUAUUUAAGAUAAGAAAAUUGUACUCUCAAAACUCAAUUUCUAUGACUUAAAUUUUUUGUAAUGAUGAAAUACGAUAAAUGAGCAAUAUUUUUUAUAUUGCAUUUGAUACAUAAAAAUUUAAAAGCCAUUAAAAUUUUUAGAUACGUUAAUAUGAAUAAAUUCAUAUAUGAUAACUUUAUAUUCAUAUAAUUCAAGAUUUAUUAAAUGAAAAUUCAUUGAAUCUAGAUUAAUGUGACUGUUAAUUAAUAACACAAAUUUUAUAAACGACAAUUAUUAUAUAGUAUUUAUUACAUAUUGAAAAACGAAAAGUAAGGUAUUUUUGAAAUAAUUAAAUUGUUGGGGGGUUAAAAUCGUCCAAAAAAAAUAAUUCUUCCAUGAUGUGAUACCUUAAUAUAAAUAUAUAUAGAUUAUAGAUAUACAUGUAUCUCAAUCAAUUAAGUAAUAAAUACUAAUAAUAAUUAUUAGAUCAGUGGAAUAUUUAACUUUUCCUUAUAAAAAAUUAAGUAAUUAUUAAAAUUUUCUUAACUCAUAUGUUUAGGAAUUUAAUAAUUCAGAAAUUUCUAAUUCUUUUAUAUAUAUUUUUUUCCAUUUAUGAUAUUUUCUCAAAAUUUUGAUAAUUUAAACGAUAUGUUCUCUUUUUUACCACGAUAAAAAAUCAAUUAAUAUUAUAAUUUCUUAAUCAAAUGUUUAAGAAUAUAAUUAAUUCAAAAAUUUCAUAAAUUUGUUUAGCCCUUGUUUGAACCCAAAUUUGGAAAAAUAAUGUAUUUUUGAAUAUUAGAUUGAUGGAGAAUGUUAGGUUAAAAAAUUAGAAAAAGUUUUUUUAUUGAAAAAUGUGUAGUUAAAAAUGAGUUUUGAAAAAAUUAAUAUUUAAAAAUGAUUAGUUUAUUUGUACACUUUUAGCAUACAUAAUAGAUUACAUCCCCUCAUAUGAAGAGUGUCCAUGUAUAAUAAAUUAUGUGCAGCCCCCUUCAUAUGAGGGGUGUCAACGAUUAUGUAUAUAAAAAGUGUACAUGUAGCGCUACCUUUUUAGAAAAAUAGGGCUCAAACAAAAUAAUUGUAGUCAAAAUCGGAAUUAUUUUCAUAUCUUACAUGAACUCAUAUUCAUACCAUAUGAAUUUGUUGCAGUUAUACGUUAUAGAAUUAAUUACAGUCACAAUUGCUUUUCAUUAAAUAACUUAUCCAAGAUCACAAUGGGGACAUUCGGACACAUGGUAGUAAUCACAUGCGCGCAAUGGUCACAAUGUACAUUUUUUUUCUUUUUUUUAAAUUUUGGAGUGACUUGAUUUUAGCAAAUUUAUGAAAUGUUUAUUUCUCAAAAUGUGAUUUUAAUUAUAAGAGUUUAUCAAUUUUUCCUAAUAAAUAUGUAUCCAUUUCAUAAUGGAUUGUUAUCAAAUAUUGUACACGAACACUAUCAUGAUAAAACUAUUAUCCAAAAUCUCAUAAGCCUCAUGAGUAAAUAUAAUGUAAUUAUACUAAUAUGCACAAAAUAUGAUAACAUCAGUUCAUUUGAGAAAAUAAAAAAAAAUAUGGACCAGUAAAGGUAAAUAUAAAUAUGACAUAAGAGAGAUUGCAUAACCAAAAAACUAAUCUGAGGGUUAACAAAUUCUCAAGUUCCUUACUUCAACAUAGUUUACUAAGCACAUAUUGCAGAUGAAGAGGGAGUAAUAAAGCAGGCAAAAAAUUAAAAAUAAAAAGACAGCUAUACACACGAGGACACAUUUAUAACUACUAAUUAUUAUCCACAUAUUUCGUAGAAUCAACAUUAUUCCUCUUUAUAAACCACUUAUAAAUUUGCCAAUAACGAAAGCAGAUCAUAAUGAUCCGACGUACACACUCAAAUGCCCAACAUCAGUUAUUGCAGAUUUAUCAAACCAAGUGUCUUGGAGCAGAAAUGACCCAAUUUUUUUUAAUUGGAAAUGGAUGCUACAAGAGAAAAUUAAAUUGGAAAUGGAUGCUACAAGAGAAAAUUAAACAUCAGGGUUGAACCAUAUAGCAGACUCCAAUGGCUGUGUAAGCCAUUUGUGUGAGAAAAAAGUGGCGUCUUCGUCUACAAGAAAUGUGUUCCAAGAUUUGUUGUUUACUCAUACCAAGCAUUUUCAUAUUUCUUUCAUAUUGAUAGUUAAGAUUAAUAGCUGAUCAUAAACUUCCGAGGAUAUGGGCCAAUUCGGCAAAGCUUUUUAAAAGUCAAAAGCUACUUUUGAACAUGGAAUAAUUUUUUGGACCAUGCUGGGGGGCCAGAAGAAAAUUGACACCCCAAAUGACAGAUCCUCACAGCCAGGGUGGGUGGAUGAGUGGGAUUUUUUACAUUUUUUAUUCAUGUGGGGUCGGCGCAGGUCCCAUUCACAUGUGAGGAUCAGUCAAAACAGUGGGCAUUUCCUUUCUAGCAACUCGGCAUUUUCGUAAUUUUAUAGGUUUGUCUGACUAGAAGAGCUUUUAGUGGAAGCUGACUUAAGGUAGCUUCCUUAAUAAGCUCUUCUAAGAGAAGCAAGAGCCUUGCCAAACGGCCCCUAAGAAUUCCCAAGAAAUAGGUGCAUCUAAAACACACAUGACACCGUAUUCAAUUCCAAAACCUUUUUAUAAACAUCACAGCAACAUAACUUGGUGGCUGCUGCCACUUCGGAAACACGAGAUCUUUUCCCAGGUCUUCAUGGGAACAGCCAUUAGAUAACUUACAUUUUUUAUUUUUAAGUAUAUAAAAGUCCUUAUCUUGAGUGUAAUCUAACCAUUUUCUACUUUUAACCCAUAAAAAAUAAUUUUUUUCUACACAUAUUAUUGCUUUUUGAGCUUUUAAAAACAUACAUUAUAGAAUAACGUGGCAGUUACUAUAUUCUCGGACAACGAAUUCAUACAAAUCACAAAACCUGUCAAACUAGAACACCCAUGGAAACCUAUCCCGAUUUAAUUACCACCAGGAAUCUUAAUUUUUGAAAAACAUCAUUUUGUGGUCACAAAUUGAAAGCGAAUUGAAGAAUUUGGUAAUUAUACCACUAGUGAAAUCUGAUUCAAGUAACUGCCACAAAAUUGAGGCAAUUAUUUGAAGUAGCAAAGUGAAAAUUUUGGUAUUUAUAACACCAACAAAAUUUGAUUGUUUCAAAGUUAUCAGUCUAUUGACACCACAAAUUAGAAGCUAUCAAGUCCAAGAUGACCCAGCUGCGUCAGGGAAAAGAAUAGAAUAAUGAUCUGACUACUUCAUGCAUGCUCCACUUGGCUCGGAGAUCACAAAUAGGAAGUUGUCCGCAUUGUGUAUCAGAAGAUCGAACAAAAAAAGAAUCUACGGAGAAUUCGCUAGAGCAAAUAACUUCAAUUCUCACCGUAGAAAUCUAAUUAAUUGAAAUUCGUAAGACAGUUGAAAUCACAAAUUGGAAGUCGUCGGCACUUUGUAUCAGAAUUUUUGAAGAUAAUUAUCAUAAACUAAGGUGGGAGAAAUCAAUGGCUUGUGACCAAUUCUCUUGAAUCUGUGGCCUAUGAAUAUUGAUUUGUUACCUAUGCAAUAUAAUCUAUGACUUGUAAACUCUUACUCGUGGCAUGCAACAUAAGAACUGAUUUGUACACUUGAAUCUGUGACAUAUUAUCACUGUACAAUGACAUGUGACAUAUGAUGCAAGACUUAUUGAUAUUGAUAUAUGAUCUAUACAAUAUGACCUAUAACCUAUAAUAUGCAAACAUGAUCAAUGAGUAAUUCUAUUUGAUAUGUGACAUGUAGACAUUUAUUUGUGAACAAUGCAUAAUAUGAUCUAUGCCAUGUAAACACUGAUGUGUUACCUAUUACAUAUGAUCUGUGACUUGUUGACGUUGAUCUGUGACCUAUACAAUGUGACUCGUGAACUAUGAUCUGUGACCAAUUUUGUUUGAUUUGUGACCUAUGCACCAUGACUUAUAAAUUGGUACUUGUGCCCUAAGACAUGUAAAAAGUACCUAUUGAACAUUGACAACUAAAUUAUGACCUGUAACAAAGGACCUAUGAUCUACGCAAAUGAGUAUGCGACCAAUAGCAUUUAAUAAUUCAAAUAACUUAUCUAUACCAAUAAAAAUCAUCCCAAAACCUCACCACCACCACAUUUGUAGAACACCACAACCUUACAACUACCACCAUUUGCAGAAUACUAACAACCAAUAAAAUUCAUCUCAAAACAUCGACUAUGUAGCGUAUCUAAAAAUCACCUCAAAAACCACCACAAAACUACUCAUUCCCCCUCCCACCAACCCCAUCACUCAUAAAUUUAAAAAUAACAAAAAAUCAUCCCCUCGGGGCAUUGCCUAGGAAUUAGACUUCUUGUAGGCGCAGUGUACAUGUAACUCUUAUUUCCUGUCAUACAGGAACACAUCCCGCAAUUUACCUCUCUUAUAAAGCUCUAGGGGCGGGUCGUGGGGGCAACCCCAACUUUUUUUUUUUUUUUUUAAAUAACAAAAAAUCAAGUGAAUGCAAAAAGGUCACUGCUCUAAGACAAAACCGCCAUUCUGUAAAACAUAAUUUUUAUAUUAAUUUAAUUAUUAAACCCCACCAAGUAAAUAGUAUUGACCGAUUCACCCUCUAAUAAUUACUGCAUAACAAAGCCUUGAACAUCAAAUGGAAAAUACAGAUAAAAACAGUAAUCAUAAAGUUACAGAGAGAAACUAAGAUGAUUUUUUUUAUUUUGGAUUAUCAUAGGAUUUUGGAACGACUUUAGUUCAGGGGUCAAGAAAAAGUCAUCGCUAACGAAGAAAUCGAUAAAAGUAUCAAUGACGGAGGAGAGAAGUGAACGAAGAAUUUGACAACUAAUUUGGUAUUCCAUUGUUUUCGUUAUCAGAAUAAAGAGUAUGAGAGGAAUGGGUAGAGAAGAUAAGAGUGAUUAAGAAGUAGAAGAUAUGACAGAGAGAGAAGAGAUAGUCGAUAUUAAUUUAUAAUAUUAUUUUUAAUAUUAAAUGUAAAAUUAUCAUAUGAUUUUUGUAUAAACAAAUUUUAAAUAUAUAUUUUUUAAUUGUAAUCUUUAAAAAUUUGUGACAAUGUAAUUUCCACUAAACUUUAACUGGCUGGACUGAAAGUUUAAAAGCCUAGAAAGAAGUUUGGCCCAAUAUAUCGAGCUAUUUGAAGUUUUGUCCAAAGGGUUAUUCUUCUUGGCCCUGUCCAUAUAACAUAACUCUUGUCCAAGUAUAAUCCUUUUUAAGAACAAAUUACUCGCUAGCACAACAAAACGAUUUUUCUCCUUAAAUGAUUUAUAAUAGUAAGUAAUUUUUUUUUGAAGCCACUAAAAGGAUGACCAUUCAAUCAUUAAGGGUCCGUUUGAUUGCAAAAAUGAAAUUUGAAUGGAAAGAAAACGUAUUUUAGGGAACUGAAUUGCUUAAAAAUUAUUUUUAUGGGAAUUGCAAAUUAUUGCAUUUGAUUGGUAAAAGUUUCCACAUGGAAAAUGUUGAAAUAAAAGUGUUUUUUUGUGUCCGUUUAGCUUUUUUUACAUGAAAUUUGUCAAUUAAAAUGAUAGAAUUUACUGGUAUUGGAAUUGAAAUUUGUUUCCAUUAUAAAAAAUAAUAAAAAAAAAUCAAGAAAAUUAUCUAUCUUUUAACAUUCUUUUGGCUUUGUUUUACAUGAAAAUUAUCAAUUAAAGGAAAGUAUUUUUUUUACAAUAAUUCUUAAAAUUUGUUUUCAUGCAAUGUGUGUGUAUAUAUAUAAUAAUAAUAAAAUCGAAAAAAAAAUUAAAAAGUGCUACAGUAAUCGAAAAUUCAAAUUCUUACCAUUUUGGUGAGAAUUGGAAUUCCUUGAAUUGAUGGAAAAUGCUGACAUGGCAAAAAGGUGGAAAUUUCAAUUCUAGGUAAAAUUUUGGACAAUCAAACUGCUAAAAGUUGAAAAAUGGAAUCCAAAUUUCAUUUUCUAUGGAAAAAAUGGUGGAAUUAAACACUACCUAAGAAAAAAAUAUACCUAUUCUUCGCAAAUGUCAUCUCUUAAUAAACCCCUUCAUCCCUUCUAACACAUCUUUAGUAGCAAGAAAUGAAUUCUUAACUACUAAAGUUGCACAAAAGCCCCCAUUUGAUAAUCAUUACUGGGCAAAAAUAUUGUUUUGAAUAGUGAUUUAUAAAAGAAUGCAUAGUUAAAAAGUAAGAAAAAAUUUUAAAUUUAUGUAUAAAAGAUUUUGUUAAGUAAAUGUAUGAUUAAAAAUGAGUAUGUAAAAAAAGAGUUUUUAAAUAAUAGUUGUCAAACAUGGGCUUGGUCUAAAAGUAAUGGAGCUUACUUCGAAAUAAGAAUGGGUAAUUAGAUGGACUUGACAUGAAAAAAUUGCAUCAAAUGUUUUCAAUAUAGUGCAUGUUUGGUACAAUUUUUUAAUCGUUAUUUUACUAUUCAAAUCGUCAUUUUUUACUUCUUCUCCCAUAAGUAAGACUUAUUUUUCUCUCCAACGAUCAAAAAAUCAAUUAUCAAAAUUACUACCGAACAAGCCCAUAAUUGUGUAAGUAGCAAACUUGUCACAAAACAUAAAAAUCAAAACAUAAGUUAGUUAAUCAAAUUAGAGUUAUAACUUUACUAUCCGCUUUCAACAAUGGAAAACGAUCUAAAUUACUAUUAUGUCUUCACUUUUUGCGUGACCUUAGCUCCAUUAAAUAAGCACGCCAUGAGAACCAAAUGAGAUUUGGAUGAUUUACAUGACGGGAUCAACUUCCUUCACCAUUAUAACUAUUGAGUACACCUUUGUAUUCAGACUAUAAGUUGAGGACUAUUUGUGCAAUUUUUCUGAGUCAGUAUACUCUGACGGUCACAAGCUUAUCUUGUACGCUACAAGGGCCAUACAACGAUGAACUGACGAAAAUACCCUCGUUUUUAAAUUUAGGAGCGUUGGAGCGGAGUCAGAGAGGUUCCAAACCAGAGUUUGAAAAUUUUAACGGCUAUAUUCAACCUGCUCCUUUGGUACACCAACUCUGCUGUAUCAAUUAGAAUUAUAGUGACAAAUUUUCAAAUAUACAAUUAAAUUUCUGGAAUCAAAUUCUUGUUACUUCGUAGAGGCCGAUUAUUUCACGUUCUUGCCUGUUUGUCGAUUGCUUUGAGGUUUGGCGGUGCAAAUUAAACCUAUUAGUCCUUUGUUAUUUUUCAAUGGCCUCAGUAAUGGCAGACCCAGAUCCUGUAAAAGUUAGCAAGGGCUCAAUUCCGUCGACAAAAGUCAGAAUAAUUGGGAAAAUCAAGGGUUUCACAGACCAGGAAUCUCAAUCUCUGAACCAAGAUUCGAAAAAAUGGAUCACUGUUAAGAAAUCGCAAGAAAACGAUUCCUCUAGUAAAGUUAUGGUUUCUUUUGAAUCUCAAUCAACCAGGUAAGUUUCUUUUCCAUAUCAUCAGUAGCCGGUAGGUUUGAUUCUACUUCUACACCUGGUUUUAUUUUUCAUUGUCAUGUAAUAUCAAGAUUUUCUCUGGAAAUAUUAAUUUGCCUCAUUUUUUUCAACCCAGAAAUUGAAUUAACGUUGGUGAUUUUUGCAUAAUUGUCCUUCGUGCAUAUCAAUUUUGUGCUCGAGCAAAGAAUCCUUGAAUCACUGUUUUGACCUUCUGGUAUUGAAUUCUUUUGGUAAUUUCUAUUUAAGGGUGUUUUUCUUUUAUUCUAACUUCUAGAGAAGAAUUAGAGAUUUGGUGUUUGAUAUGAUUAGUUCUGAAAUUUUGCACCAUUCGUGACUGGGAAAUUAUUUUUUUAUCCGGAUAAUUCACGGACUAAUAAUUAUAUUCUAGCUUGUGUUCUUAUGCAAUUUAACUGGGCAUCUAGAAUGUUUAGGAAAAGAAACUUUGAUCUUAAGACGUUUCAGUUUCAUAGUUCUGGAUGGACCUAAUUUUAUUUUUCUUGUCAUGUAUUAGCCGCAAGGAUCCCUACGAACUGGACUAUUGCUAUGAGCAAGAUGAAGAUAUUGACCUGAUAUAUUUGAGAGAAAUACGGCCCAUGGUUUUAGAGGUCUUGGAUGGUGGAAAUGCAUCUGUCAUUGCUCUUGGGGCAAGAGGAAGUGGGAAAACUUGCACAAUCCAGGUGCUUUUUUAUACCUCUUUUUCAUUUUCUUCUUUUAUAACUGGAGAGAACAUUGUAUUCUUAUUUUGUUGUUUGGAUCCAUUGAAGGGCUCUCAAGGAAAGCCAGGUUUAGCAGUAAUGGCAAUGUCUGAAAUUCUUUCAAAAGCAAUGAAAUUUGGGAAGUCAGUCUCUGUAUCUCUGUACGAGGUGAUACAAGAACAUGCUUAUGAUCUUUUAGAUCCUAAACAUCCAGAGGUUCAAAUACUAGAAGGUGCUCAGGGUAAAAUCCAUUUUAAAGGACUUUCUCAGGCAAGCAAAUAUGUUUUUCAGAAAAAAUAAAUAAUAAUAAUAAAAUUUAGAGUUCUCUGUAGUAGAGGACUUAGCAUGUAGUUUUCUUUUAUAUCUGUUCAUGGUACAUUCUUAAUGUUGUUCUCUUCUAGGUCGAUGUGAAAUCUAUUCAAGAAUUCCACAAUAUAUACUUCAGUCGAGGUAGUUUUCAAAAGUCUGUGCAAAAGAUACCAACAGAGAAAACGCGGUGCCACAAAGGCUUGAUGAUACACGUAUCAUCUGAAGAUGACAAUCUGAAAGCCAAGUUAACAAGCAAGAUGAAUUUUAUUGAUUUAGCAGGUUUUCAACCCGUGAAACUUUCAACAGGAUUUUAGCUUGUGUUGUUACAUUCAUACUUCUAAAGACUUGACGUUACAAUUGUUUUUUUGUGUAUCAGACUAUGAAGAUCCUAGAAGAAAUAUUAAAGAUGGAACCAUAUUUACUGAGAGUAGUAGGACUAAUAAGUCACUUUAUACCUUAUUGAACGUUGUCUAUGCCCUUAAUGCCAAUGAGAAACGUGUGCCAUAUCGAGAAAGCAAGCUAACUCGAAUAUUACAAGACUCCCUUGGUGGCACAAGUCAUGCAAUGAUGCUUAUGUGCUUGGUACAUGUUUUAUGCUUUAUAAGUUUCAUGUUACUGUUUUGUCUCUAUGUUCCUAGAUUCUGAAAUUAUUAACUUUGAUGGAUCUUUUUAAUUCUUUUCAUCCCUAUUCAAUGCAGAACCCUUCCUUUUGCCAAGACACUGUUUGCGCAAUAAGUUUAGUUUCUCUGUCACGCCGAAAUACCAAGCAAGUUUCGAUAGACUCCACAAACAGAAGUCGAAGUUCAGCCAAAGUGAAGAUGCCUUUGUCAAUAAAGAGUGGGAAGACACCAUCUACUUCCUUGACCAUGAAAAAACAGAUUGCCUCCAGUAUGCUCUCGUCGACAAAGGAGAACAGUAGCAUCUUGAGAGGAAGGUAAAACUAUUUUCAUCUCAUAUUCGAAUCUAAGUUAAAGCCUGUUCAAAAUUGCAUUUUACUAAUUCUCUCUCUUUUUACUCUACUGAAGGAAACUCUUUGAUGAAGAAAAAUCAAACAAUUCUAAGCAGGUAUUGUUUAUUAAUUUCUGCAAUCCACUGAGUAAUCAGGUUCUUAUAACACUUUUUCAUUGCUUUUGUCUUUCGUGCAUGUAGAUAUUACGAUAGUGAUUUCUAGACAUCUAAGCACGGAAAACUGUACCAUGUUAUAAACUUUUUGACGGUUUGAAUUUUGUCCAGUUUCUAAAUUACUCAAUUUCGCUUCCACCAAGGGGUAUCAAUGUUUAUUAGUUCAAGCCAAACCCCUACCUAGGCACAUGGGUGGUGUUCGGUUAAAAUAAAAAAGACGGUUACUAAGCACUGAUUCCAUUUAGAUAUAGCUCAUCUAUACUUUAAAAAAAAUGCAGUUGAGAUCCCCACCUGAAGACAUUUUAGCCAGGAAAUCUAAGCUUCUCCAAGUUGUUGAUUCAGAAGUUACAGCCUUUUCCUUGACACAGGUAUUUCGGUUCCCUGAAAAAUUCUUGCAAGGCAUUUACAUAAACAGAUGAACAUGUAUUUUGAAUGAUACAGUCAUUAUCCUUAAGAAUAUUUUUUUGAUGCUGCAAACACAGGAUAAAUAUAUUUCAGAUGUUAGUUUAGCUGUAGAGCCAAUAGAAAACGUAAGAUUUAUUGCUUUUGAAAAUUACAACACCUUUAAAGGACUUGUAGCUCAAUAAAUGGUUCUUUCAUUAUACUUAAGAAUAUUUGUUUGAUGCUGAAAAAACAGGAUAAAUCUAUUCCAGAUGUUAAUUUAGCUGUGGAGCCAAUGGAAAUCGUAAGAUUUAUUGCUUCUGAAAAUUACAACAGCUUCAAAGGACUUGUAGCUCAAUCGAUGUCUUAAUUGCAGGACACUCCAUUGCCAAUUUCUCCAAAUGAUAUGACUAUUGUUCUUGCUGAAAAGGUAAUGACAUAGUUUACUUGUGAACUUUUGAUUGUACUAUUUACAGUAUUGCUUUCAAAAGCCAUUGUGUUAAGGUUUGUUAAAAUGUUAUUCGGAAAUUUUACUUCUACAUGCUAAGGCAUGUUCAUAAGAUGGAUUAGACACUAUGGGACAAUAUUAAGAAAGAAAAAGAAGAUAAAAUCCUGUCAAUUGUAUUGUCAACAUGGUGAACUGCAUACCAAACACGCAUCAAACCAAAAAUACAUUUCACUUCCAUUCCAGUGAAUGAAGAAAGAAUGCAUAAUCCGUACGCUUUUGCUUUUUCAGGAUGUUUCACCAAACAGCAGGAAUGAUAAUCUAGAUGUUUCUCCUGGUAUUACUGCUGAUGCAAAACCUAUAAAAACGUUGAUCUUUCUAUCACUUUCCUUACACAUUAUGCAAUGCUUCAGGUCGCUUGAGAGAGGAAAAUGUACCUUUGAAGAAGAAUGAAGAUGGAGCCCCCUCACUUACUGAAAGACUAAGAGAAAUAUCAAACAAUCUAAGGUCAUUAUCUUCAUCAACACCGUCCAGGGUUAAGUUUUUAGAAAAUGUGGUUACACCAUGUAGCAAUCAUAUAGAUCCAAAAACCCCAGUCAUGCAACGUGCUGUCGAGAUAUACCAUAGUCCUCGGGGUACUUUCAGCAAUCGCAGCUCGGGAGUGAAGGUUUGUGAUACUAUGCACCUUAUUUCCAUGCAACUCAUUGUUGGUCUUGUGCUAAUUAAGUAUUCCUUAUCCUUGGCAGCAUUCUCUUGUACAAGAGUACCUUACAUUUUUGAAUUCUGCUAACAAGUAAGUAAAUCUACCAAACCUUUUCCGAGGUUAUUAUUGACGCCCUUUGUUUCCUGCUUUAAUACAAUCACAACCUUGUAAAAUUUAAAACCACCAAACCUUCAUAUUUGAUUUUCCAACAUUCAUAUGGUAGCAAUUAUAAUAUAAUCCAAUUCUACCAAAUGGUCGGUUUUGGAGCCAAAUGCAGACCUUGAUGGUUCUUAUUUGCUAGAAACGACUCAUGCAGCUUCAAUUUAUCAAGUUGCAGAUAUCAAAGUUGAUAUAUAGUUAACCGGAAAGUGUCAUAAGUAAAUUUCAAGAGUAUUUUGAUUUCAGCUGUUAUUCUAUACUGUUUGGAACAAUAUCAUCAUCAGUUAGGCAAUAUUGAACAUGGAAAACAUAUUCGAUGAUAAUUAGUCAUGACAUGAAAUUCGAGCAUACAUACUUUUAAAGAUUAAUAUGCCGACAAUUAAUGUUCUUGCAACUAAAGUUACAACAGUAAAUCUUUACUUUAGUUUUGGGAUGUAGGUUAAAUUGCAACUGUUAUUUAUGCAAUGUUCUGCAAUGCAUCUACUCAAUUAACUUAUUGUCAUCAAUUAACGUGUCGUGUUGCUCAUAAACAAAUUUUACUGUGUUUUUUUCCUCUAAUUUACAGGGAAGAGCUGAAAGGCCUGAAAGUAAGCCAAUCUUUGAUUUUUUAUCAUUAUCGUAGCAUUUCUUUUGAUUAGAUGAAGUAUCAUAUGAUGUGUUAUACAGGGCAUUGGAGAGAAAAGAGCUAACUACAUUCUUGAACGUCGUGAAGAAACUCCUGAACCAUUCAAGCAAGUAAGAAUUAUAUUCAAGCUACAACUUUGUUGAUUAGGGCCUAUAACUUGUGGAUAGAAAUCACUGUAAGUGCAUUUUUCUCUUGAAAGGACUAAAUCGUCAAAAGAAAUGAAGUUUUUGCCUGAAAUAUUAUGAGCUAGACUAUAGAAUGUGCUGUAAGGGGUUUGAAUUUGCUUAUCUAAUUUUUCUUGACAAACAAACCAGCAGUCAUUUCGCAACUUCUUUGAGAUGAAUAAUCUUUUUUGUGCAAUUCUGAAUGCCAAGUCUCUUUAGGAUUCUUGUUUAGUAUUAACACGAAGAAUGUUUUUACUUCACAGCUCGAUGAUUUGCAAGACAUUGGCCUCUCAGCAAAACAGGUACUUGUUCUGUUGAUCUAGUUUACCAGUAUACUAUUUGUCCAUCUAUCACCUGGUCUGGGAUGGCCUGUUCUUCAAAUUAUUUCAAUUUUAUUUAGUAUUUUCAUUUUUUUCUGUUUUCUUAUGCAGAUUAAAGGAAUGAUGAAACAGGUCGCAGGAGAGCUUUUCAAUUAGUGUACUUAUGUUUGGCAACAUGAAGUUGCCAAUUAUUUGAAUUAAUGAUUUCACCGUUUCUUCUUCUAAUGUGUCUUCUUGGCUCUUGUAAUAUUGCGUGGUUGGUCUACGUACUAAGUUAACGUAAUUUCAUGGAGCAAACUUUCAAGUAAAUUUGUUACUUUUAUUGUUAGUACUUUUAGUCAAAUUGGUUGAGUUCGUUGCAGUUACUUGUAUUUAAAAGCUUUUAUCUCACCGAAUUUAAUUUUUAUUAUUUUUUUUUUAUUUUUUUUUAAAGUUUCAUAAAUGAUAAUUUUAUCGUUCUCACUCACUCAUAUUUAAUAAUUAAUAACUAAUAAAAUUGUUGAUGUCCAUGAAAUAAUGAAUUUUUCGAGAAUGUGUGGAUGUGUGACUGAAAAUAAGAAUGUAGAAAAAAGUUUUAAAUUAAAGGCCAUAUUACUUUAUAUUUAUUAAAUUGUUAUUUGCGAUCUCCUAACAAAUUAUCAUUCUAGAUAGUUUUAUGAGACAUUUGCUACCAAUUGAGUAGUUUGUUACUUUCUCAAGAUUCUCUUAAUCACCUUUCUCACGUAUUUAUCAGAUGCAUUUUCCUGUUUGUGCCACAUGGUGGCCUCCUAUAUUGCUACACGAUUAGUAAGAAAAUUGCACGCUUCCCUUUAGAUAUCCACUUACCUUUAAUGCCUUCAUUUGCUUUAGGCUUGUGUUUCGCGCGGGUUAGUCGCUAACAAUUAAAAAGGAUCAGACGAUUGUGUAAGGGACAAAACCUCUUGAAACAAAGUCCCAAAAAGGGGUGUUUUUUUAUUGACGAUGACUUUACAAUUGGAAAUGAAAAACAACGUGCAUCCAAGGGGCGCAAGCACACGAAUUACUGAAAGAAAAGUGUUUAAAUCUAAAAACUAAGGAAAUGAAAAUUACAUGUUCUCUGUUCGAGAGUUUUGGAUUCGGUCCCUUGCUUCUAUAUCCUUUCUCCCUUUUAUACUUCAUGGACGAUAUCUUUGUGAUCAACCGUCCUAAAAACUGCUUGAUCUUCCUAUAACUGCCCACUUUCUUCGUAAUGGCCAACUUGUCAUGAAAACUGCAUUUUUUAACUGCUGCCAUUACUCUUCAUCGUUCAACCGCUUUCGAUUGAAUUCAUUGAAUCGUGGAACGUGAUGGGGCUGCUUUAAUAACUAUUUUGAUAACUGCACUUCUUGAUAACCACGACGCUUUGUGCUUGUUAAGACUUUGGGCGACUUGAAGGUUUGGGCGAGAAUAGAGUAACAGCUCUGGGUGACUGUAUGACACUCCAUUCGCUCAGAUUAUGGGCGACUUGCAAACUUGGGCGAUGGCAUUACCGCGUUCUUGGGCCUCCCUAUUUGGGCAUUCAUCUUGAUUUGUUUGAUUAGGCUUCGUUCUUUGGGCUAUCUGAUUUGGGGAUCCUUCAAUUGGGCUUCACUCGUUGGGCUGUUCGAUUUGGACUGAAUUUUUACGUGUCAACAAUUACCCCCCAAUAUGGCAGAAUUAAUAAUAAUUAUUAAAUUUUGUCAUACUCACUUUGUGUUUCCAGUAACAUUCGAAACUCCCAAGAAUUUCAAUCAUUGUUUUCUUCUAUAACUUGAAAAGGUGCAUCAUUUUGCAAACCCUUAUAAACCCCAAACACGCCAUUUCACUGCACCAUUAAACCACGCCUCAAAUUAUUUGCGUCUCUCUCACGAUUUACUAUUCACUUUUGCUUCCCUGCUACGUAACCCUGAAAAGCUUCAUUCAUUCUCAAAUGGCUGCUUCACAAUCUCAAGCUAGCGACUCCUUUAGUUUUGAUGACUUUCAGAAACUCUAAGUCGCCCAUACAUAACUCCGAGUUUUCUCGCACCCGCCGAUGUUGAACGUAAUGAGUUCUACUUGGGUCCUUUAUUCAACAAUGCAGAGGCAGUUGAACAAGUGGCGAUGGGUCAGCUGUUUCCUUGCACCCAAGGCCCUCCAUUUCUGAACUCUCUACCGCUAGGGCCACUUCGCGAAAGAGGUAUUCGCACUUGGCCUAAAUCUGAUGUAGCUUUCCGUAGGUGGCAUGCUCGCCUUGUGGGUCAUGGUCCUAUUAAGGCACUUUUUGAUAGCGCUAGGAUUUCUGAUUUGUUAGAAAUCUCCAUUCGCCCCCUACUUUUGAUUCAGCACUCUUUCCGAUGGCUUUGAGUUUUUGGUCCCCUGAGUAUAAUACCUUUAUUUUCCCUCUUGACCCCAUGUCUAUCACCUUAAGGGAUGUUGGGGGCCCUGGUGAAUCUACCACCUUUGGGCGAUACCAUUUUUCCUGGUAUCUUAGUUUCUAGUGGCGCCCCAAAGUUUGGUAAAAACUACACCGAUUCUUAUUCAAGCCUGCAAACUAUUCACAAUCAUUCGAGCGCUGAGCCUUCCCAUACUGAGCGAAUGGCCUUCCUUCUAUUUUGGCUUUGUAAAUACGUUUUGUGUGUGCCAAACAUAAAGCCCUCCCUGAGUUAUUUACCUAUAGCGCACGAAUUGGCGCGUGGUAGGCCUUUGAAUUUAUAUUCUUUGUUUUUGGCUACCCUUUAUAGAGGCAUGGUCUCUCUUCAAACUCAAUUGAAGAAUAGUGCAUCUCCCACUGGCAGUGGACUUCUUUGGUUCACUCAACUGUGGUUGAGAUCCUAUUUUCCAUUGCUUGGUGCUCCAUCAAUCUUUCGCUCCUCUGCUAGCUGUUAUGGGCUAGUCAUGAGCCCUUAACUCCUGUAAAUAUGUCCAGAAGGGAUAUUUUUUCAUUCUUUUAUUCUUUGGAUUCAAUCCCUUCCUUUUUUCCUUUUCCUCCUUUUUUGACUCCAAACUAUGUACAUCCCCCUUCCACUAUAGAUAGCGCGAGCACCUCCCUGCUCAUUUGGAUCUAGUUUUUAACAGGGAGGGAGCUAUUUCAUGAUAUUCUAACUGGGACCAAUGCCAAGGCGGGGGUAGAAAUUUAUGCUCCCCAAUUCUUUGCUCGUCAGCUUGGUUUUGGCCAAACUUGGCCUGUUCCUCCUUGCUAUUCAAGGAACUUAGUUGACCAUUUUUAUACCAUUAAUAAGUCUGAGGCAGAGGCUAUAGAUGCUCGUAAUCUUCUUUUAACCAGCCAUUUUUCAUUAACCCCUUUCAACUCCAGCCACGCCAUUUACCCUCUUUUUGAACAACUCUGGCCGUCGGUGAAGCGCAGAUUAUUUGCGACUGACGCCAAUCGUGCCUUUCAUUCAUUAGACUAACCGAGCAUUUCUUCUCCUCCUCCUAUUUUGGUCACUCCUUUGUCCUUUCGGAGUCCUUCUCCUUCUUGUCGCACUAAACAGUCUGCUCGUUCAUCUUCUUCUCUCCCUGCCUAGCCUACUACAGCCAAGAGUGCUCCAAGCCGCAAAUGGCUAGCCUCAGCAUCUCCCAUUCUGGAGGAUGAUGUUGAUGAUGAUGAUGAUGCCCCUCUUAUCGUCAGGAGGAAGGUAAUUAAAUUGGUUUACUUACAAGUAUACUUUUCCACACUUGAAACUUUUCUGUGUGCUGAUGAUCUUUUGAACUUCUCAGAAAAGCUCAGUCUCUCCUUCAAAGGCUUUGGCAUCGACAGCUCCUGCUCUAUCAUCUUCUGCUGAGGCUACUUCAUCCAAACCGGUUGAUGAGGGGGCUACGCUUAAAGAGACAUCUUCAGUCCUAGAAUCCUCAUCACAACCUAUGGAUGAGCCACCUUCUUCCCAGGGCGUCAACCCCCUAAACAUCGAAGCAGAAGGUAAUUUAGUUUUUUGAUGUCUUACCUUUGCUUGUGCUGUUGGUCUUUGAUUCGUUGGUCUUGAGUUUUGCAGAUACUCCUAUGAGUCCGCCUGUUGUGGCAACAUCUUCUCGCUUAGAUAAGGGGAAGUCCUCACGAAUGGAGGAGUAGUUGGUGGCAGACUUGGUUGAGGGCAUGCCAUCUUCCACGAUUGUUGAUAAGGUAGUCUUUGCUUCUCUUCUAUUUCUAUUUUGUUCAUUGUAGUGAGCAUCUUUAAUAUUCGCAAUUUUCUUUGCAGGAUGCUGACAGGAUUGUGCGUUCUAUCCAUGACUUGUUCGCUUCCUGGGGGCAAGUCCAAACGUCUCGCCCUGCUCCAUCUGAUCGUCAUGCUACUUCUUCAGAGGAAGAUCUGAAGUUCCUCAAGGAGUCGAUAUUUGAAUACGUAUCCUUCAUGGACAUGGAUAUUGGAAGGGUUAGUGCUGCCAGACACAAGGAUAAACUUGAGCACUUUCUAUUUUGUUCAUUGUAGUGAGCAUCUUUAAUAUUCGCAAUUUUCUUUGCAGGAUGCUGACAGGAUUGUGCGUUCUAUCCAAGACUUGUUCGCUUCCUGGGGGCAAGUCGAGACGUCUCGCCCUACUCCAUCUGAUCGUCAUGCUACUUCUUCAGAGGAAGAUCUGAAGUUCCUCAAGGAGUCGAUAUUUGAAUACGUAUCCUUCAUGGACAUGGAUAUUGGAAGGGCUAGUGUUGCUAGACACAAGGAUAAACUUGAGCACUUGAAUGCGAAGUUGGAGCAAGCACUGACGCUUCUUUCGAGUCGUAGCUGAGAAAGAGUCCUUGCGUAUGGAGAUUAACAAGGCUGAGGACGAGUUGAAAGAAAUCUCUUCCGAGGUCACGAUUGAAGACUCCUUGAUGGUUAACUUGGUUGCUCAGAUGAAGGAACUUCAAGCCAAAAUGGACGACUGCAGGGCGAGAAUGACUGCUAAAAAGCGCAACGCCUCCCAGGGAAUUGAGCGAACUAAGUCCUUGGUCGAGUAGUACAAGAAGUUAGAAGUUAAUGAUGAUGUCGCGGCUGAAUCUGAGAAAGAGUCCUUGCGUAUGGAGAUUAACAAGGCUGAGGACGAGUUGAAAGAAAUCUCUUCCGAGGUCAUGGUUGAAGACUCCUUGAUGGUUAACUUGGUUGCUCAGAUGAAGGAACUUCAAGCCAAAAUGGAUGACUGCAGGGCGAGAAUGACUGCUAAAAAGCGCAACGCCUCCCAGGGAAUUGAGCGAACUAAGUCCUUGGUCGAGCAGUACAAGAAGUUAGAAGUUAAUGAUGAUGUCGCGGCUGAAUUGAACAUCACUUCCUCUCGGCAGAACGAGGAUUGGGAAAAACUUAGGGAACGAAUUCGUUGGGUAUGGGGUGGACUGUAAUUAAGACAUAUGAUAAAUUUUUCCCUUUGUAAUUUUGUUCAUCAUUAAUGAACAUUAACUUCUUGUGCAUUCAUUUGACGUUUUUUUUAGUCGUCAAUUCUUUAAGCACUUAACUGCUUUGUGCUAAAAAUCUUGUCCAUUUUCUUUUGAUAUUUCCACCACCUUUCCCAAGACCUUGGGCUGUUUAAUUUCGUUUAUUAGGCAGAAAUGUAGCUGUUCAUAUUCUGUCUCUUCAUCUUCACCCCCCUAUAAAUGCUUCGCAUUUUCCAUCUUCUAUCUUCAUCUCUUCAUUUUCUUCUUCAAAACUAAUUUGCUGCCAUUACUUGGCAUUCUGACGAUCAAUCCAAUCCAAAAUGGACUGUUUAGUCCGUCCACCUUACUAUUUACCUUGAUGUCACCUUUGGUGUGAGAGGUAUAGGAAAUAUUUUCUGGCCAACAACAAAGCUUUUACCAUCAAAAUUCUUCCAAUCGUCUCUUUGUCCUUUACAAGGAGUCGAUGAUAGAAGGCAAUUUUUGGGCUGCUUGCGGGCCACUUUGCUUGCUGAGAGUGCUUCUCAGCUUGCCUGCUGAGAGUGUUUCUCAGCCUCUUUGCUCGCCAUUGCAGCGAUGCAUUUAGGAAGGUGGUGAGGCCAGUACACCCUCUUACUCAGCUAUCCCACUAUUGCAGCGAUGCAUUUAGGAAGGCGGUGUAAGGCUUACUCAGCGAUCAACCGGGAGAUUAUCUUACUUUAGUUGUAUUUUGUAGAACAUCCAUUAUUUGUAUUUUUGUAUUCUUGUAAUGAACGUUUGAUGAUAAAGGAUUUCAUUUGAACGUAUUUCGCUCUGAUCUUGUUAUCUUUUAAUCGUUCAAAAUGUUUGAUUAUGUUUUUAUCUGUUCACAUUCCCAUAAAGAAGGAACAUAUUUUUUCAAAUAUUUGCUGUUAAUGAAUCUCACGUGCUUGGUGCCGUCUAAAUCUUCCAAGUGAUACGCUCCAUUGGGCAACACACUGUUUAUUUUGUAUGGUCCUUCCCAAUUGGGCGACCACUUCCCGUACUUUGGAUCCUUGCUAUCCAAAGGGAGUAUCGUCUUCCAAACUAGUUCACCUAGGCUGAACGACUUGGCUAUGACUUUUUUAUUAUAAAACUUAGCCAUUCUUUACUUUUGAACUUGCAAUCUAUCUAAAACGUCCAACUUUAAUUCGUCUAAACUCAAUAAAUUUUAAACUAGUGAUUCGACAUACUCAUCAUCAUUCAACUUAUGUUGCAAGCACACUCUAAUCGAUUGCACGUUGAUUUCCAUAGGCAAAACGGCCUCCUGUCCAUAAACAAGUUGGAAAGGCGUAACUUUGAUACUUGACCGAGGUGAUGUUCUAUAAGCCCAUAAGGCCUUGUUCAGACAUUCGUGCCAAUUUCUGGCAUUUUCAUCUAUCAUCUUUCUGAUAAUAUUUUUUAGAAUCUUAUUAGAAGAUUCCGCUUGUCCAUUGGAUUGAGCGUAGUAUGGUGUGUAGUUUACUAAUUUAACCCCAAACUCGCUCAAAAAUUUGUUCACUUGAUCCCCAUUCAAAGAUGUUCCGUGAUCUACCAUUAACGUUUGUGGAAUUCCAAACCUAUAAAUAAUGUGAUCACGGAUAAACUCUAUAACAUUCUUCUGGGUGAUCUCUUUCAAAGGUACCGCCUCUACCCAUUUGGUGAAAUAGUCGGUUGCAACUAUAACAAAAGUAUGUUGCUUGGACGAUGGGGGAUAAAUCUUCCCUAUCAGAUCUAUCGCCCAACCCUUGAAUGGUCAAGGUUUAAUAAUAGGUGCCAUCUCUCGUGCUGGCAUCCUUUGUAUUGGACCAUGCUUUUGGCAUGCUAAAACAACUAUUUGCAUAAUGAACGCAUAGUUCUCCCAUCUUUGGCCAAAAAUAUCCACUCCUAAUAAUUAACCACCUCAUCCUUUGGCCAGCUUGAUGAGCUCCACAUAUCCCUUCGUGCACUUCAGCCAUGAUCGUCUUGGGUUCUUGCAAACUUACACACUUUAGUAAUACACCAUCAGAGCGUUUCUUAAACAACUCUUCAUCUAUUAGUGUGUAAUUCAGCAAACAUAACUUCAUUUUCCUACUAAUCCCUCCAUUAAGUUCUUUAAGGAACCCUUUAAUCUCUGUUAUCCAAUCUACUGCAUCUCUAUCUAGUAUGCAGUGAAGUUCAAUUUUUCUCGCCCUUCUUUGAGUCGCGGGCAAUAUGAUUCCAUACUCACAAGUAGACUUCCAAUUCAAGACCUUUGAGUACCCUGAUGCCAUUUGGGCUAACUCAUUUGCCACGUCGUUAUAUAUCCUAUUAACGCAUUGGAGUUCUACUUGAUCGAAUUCUUCUAAUAAUUCUUGGGUGAUCUCGUAUUGACUUAUAAUGGAAUCACUUUGGCAUUUAAAAUCACCGAUCAAUUGAUGGAUCACCAAUUGAGAAACGCCCCUAACAAUAACAUUUCUUACUUCCAUAUCUAUCAUUAGUUUUAGGCCUACAAUCAAGGCUUCAUAUUCGGCUUGAUUGUUGGUGCACAUUCUGUCUAAAGUGCAUGCGAACUUGUAGCAAAUCCUUAAAAGAUUAAUCAAUGCUACUCCUACUCCUGCACCUUUAGAAGUUUUUGAUCCAUCGAAAUACAACACCCAAGGUUUUAACUCGAACGAAUUGAUUUCUAGUUCGAUUUCUUCAGGCAUAUUAAGGCAUGGAUGAUCGGCUAGAAAGUUAGCCAAAGCCUGAUUUUUGACUGCCUUUUGAGGUAUAUAUUGUAUUUCGAAUUCUGAUAAAGUUAGUGUCCAAAGGCCUACCAUUUGGUGUAAAAUAGAGUGCGAGAACAUAUACUUAACUAAAUUUACUUUAGAAAUUAAAUAAAUGGUUACGGGCCGUAAAUAAGCCCUUAAUUUUGUACAUGUGAAAUACAAUGCAAGACAUAAUUUUUCGAUAGCAGAGUAAUUACAUUCACAUUUCGUUAACCGUCUACUUAAAUAGUGAAUUGCCCUUUCUUCACCAAAUUGGUCUUUCUGUGCGAUCAUUCCAGCUAUUGACUCUUUUUCAGCCGAUACAUACACUUUCAUUGGCCGUCCUUGGAUUGGUGACACCAACACUGGUGGACUUGAUAGAUAUGUCUUCAGGCUUUCAAAAGCCUUUUGAUGUUCUUCUUUCCAGACGAAUUCGUCCUGAUUUUUCAGCUUUUAGAGCGGCGAAAAGACUUUAGUUCGCCCUGCACAGUUAGAAAUAAAGCGUCUUAAAAAGUUUACUUGGCCUAAAAACCUUUGCAAUUCUUUUUUGUUGCUAGGUGGUUUGGCCUCUAAAAUGGCCUUCGCUUUAUUUUUAUCAAGUUCAAUCCCUCUCUUGUGUACUAAGAAACCAAGAAAAUUCCUUGCAUUAACACCGAAUGCACACUUCAAGGGAUUCAACUUUAGCUUAUAUUGCCUCAUUCGCUCAAACGAACAUCUUAACUAUUCGAAGUGGUCCUCUUCUUUAAUGGAUUUGACUACUAUGUCAUCUACAUACACUUCAACAAACUUGCCUAUCAUAUCAUGAAAGAUUAAAUUCAUUGCCCUUUGAUAAGUUGCCCCUGCAUUUUUUAGGCCGAAAGGCAUAACCACCCAUUCGAAACAUCCUAGAGACCCAGGGCAUCUAAAAGCAGUUUUGUGUAUGUCUUCUUCAGCUAUGUAAAUUUGAUUGUAUCCUGAAUACCCAUCCAUGAAAGAAUACAUGACAUGUCCGGCAGUCGAAUCUACUAAAGAAUCCACCGUGGGCAUUGGAUACUCAUCUUUGGGUGUAGCUAAGUUUAAAUUCCCAAAGUCUAUACACACCCUUAAUUUACCAUUCUUUUUUAGUACUGGCACGAUAUUCAACAACCAUUCAACAUAUCUGGUUGUUCUUAUAAAACCUGCUUUCAAUAAUCGCUCUAUCUCUUUCUUGAUUUCAGGGAGUACAUUGGGAGCAAAACGUCUAUGAGGCUGCCUAUGAGGUUUAAAAUUAGGCUUAGUUGGUAACCUAUGUUCCACCAAGUCUCUAUCUAAAUCAGGUAUUUGUUCAUAUUCCCAAGCAAAACAAUCUUUGUACUCUUUUAGCAAAGCGAUUAAUUUAUUACUAACCUCUUGAUCGAGCAUCUGGCUGAUGAAUGUUGGACGAUCUUCUCCUUCAUUGCCAAUAUUUACUUUGAUCAGAGGGUCUUGUGCUUGAGCGUAUCCAGGUUUGGCAAUCCACAUCACUUCGUCGUCCAAUUCCCUUGUAAGUACUUCCUCUUCUAAACAGUUCACCUUGUUGACUUCUCGGCCAAUGCUUUGCUCUAACUCGAAUACUGCCAACUUGUCCUUCAGCGCUUUUAGGGCAGUCUCUUCCUUCGUCUUGUCAUUGCAUUUCUUAUUGAAAGCCAUCAGUCUGGCUUUGAAGGCCUGAAUGUCGGCCAUUUGCUUUCGUAACUCAGAAUCCAUUCAAGAUUCCUUGAUUAUUCUCUUGCCAAUCACUUGCUCUUUCAGGGCCACUAUAUUUGGCCUCAUCUGUUUGAACAUCUCAGUGAGUGCAUCCACUGAGAACGAUUCUUCGCUUUGUACGACAACUUGAGUUUCUUUCCCGUCUUGUACUACCCUGACAGGUCCAUAAUUUCCUUCGUACAUGAACUUUUCCACCAAGUUUGCUUCUGCGACAAAAGGCCUAUGAUCGGCCUGUACCACCUCAACUUCGCCUUUGUCAUUCCAAAAGAUCAGGCAUUGAUGGAGCGAUGAGGGUAUACAGCGACUUCCGUGUAUCCAAUCUCUUCCUAGUAGCACGUUGUAACUAGUAGGACCGUCUAUUACAAAGAAAACCGUGGUCCUAGUAGUUGUCCCUAUAGUUAUGUCCAAUGGCAUAACUCCCUUAGCCGAAGUUGGUCCUCCAUUGAAGCUAGUGAGGAUUACUUCUGUAGGAAUCAUGUCACCCUCUGUCUUUGCGAACUUCCUCAUCAUCCUAGAUGGAAUGGUGUUUAUAGCUGCUCCAUUGUCGACAAGCACUUUUGCCACUGGGACGCCGUUAACUAGAGCUUUAACGUAUAAUGGCCUCAAGUGUUUAGUCAAUUUCAUGGCUGGCCGUUUAAAAAUAACCUUUUCGGCAGCCUCUCUUUGCACUUCCUGCUUGUUUUCUGCCGAAUUAUCCCCCUGUGAUAAGUCGACGUGCAGUAUAUCACGCUGAUCCUCUGUCUCCUGAAAUUCCUUCCUACUUCUUUCUAAUGCUUCCUCAUCAGUUAUCCAACCUGUUGGAGGGGGCAUUAUUCUUGGAGGUGACCCAUACUUUUCAGAGCGAGGCACUCUCUUCUUCCUUUUGGGUGUCCCGUACAGUACGUAGAAAUCGAAAGGAUGCCCAGAUGGUUCUCCCAACAAGUCUACUUCACGAACUCCCUCUUGAUAUAGUUGCUUAAACAGAGUAUUGCGCAAUACUCCUCUCUUUCUUCUUUCUGCUUCUAGAUCGAUUUCUUCUUCAAUGUCUGUCAUCCCAUCGUCCUCCUCAUCGUUGUAGGCCUCUCUAGAAGUCUGGCCUUCUUCACAUACCAACACGCAAGCUUCUCCUUCGUUGUCCUCCAUCUCUUCUUCCUUUUCUUUAUUCUUGAAUUCAUUGGCCAGUAGGUAAUUAUUGGCCACGACAGGAGGCAACGUACCGAAUUGGAUAGCAAGGGACUGAACUGGAUCUUCUUCAUCCCUUUUGUCUCGCUCAAACCUUGACCUCCCAGAAGAGGUUUCUGGCAGUUCCUUCAUUGAUUCAUCUGUACCGGUCUCUUUACUACCUUUGAGGACGUUUUGAUUGGUUACCUCGAGUAGUUUAGGCGCUUUAGGAUGUGGCACUCCCUGUUGCUGCCUCAUCAUCCGUCCGUAGUUUCGUUGGAAACGCCUUUGUUGUGUCCUAGUCAUCUCAUCGAAAGGUAUUGCCAUUCCUGCAUUGUACUGGAAUGAAUGCCAUACAUUUGGCCGGCGAGGUUACGGCCUGAAUGUUCUUCCAUUCUCUGCUGGCCUGAACUGCCUCUCAAAAGGCGGUCCUCUAUAGAAUGAUGUACCUAACCCUCUACUAGGCUGAGUGUUUGGAAAGAAGGUAGGGCGAUAAGGAUGCUGCCAUGUCCCUGGUUUCUCUAUAUUUCCAUUCACUUCUCUUUUACACCUUGCACACACGACGUCUUCGUCCUUUUUUGGUUCUUUCCCCUCGAUUCGUUCAAAGACGCUGGGAUGUGGUCUAGGAUCUUCUUCUCCUUCAUCUAUGACCAACUUGAAUUUUGGCAACUUGUUCUUAAAUCCAGAUGUCAUCAUGUUUAUUCCAAGUGGCUGUGGGAAAGAAUUUUCGUCCACUGCCAUCUUCUUCUUAUCAUCAAACGUAAUUCGUCUUGAUUCAAUGGCAUCCUGCAAUACAUGGCGGAAAACCAAGCAAUUGUUAGUCAAAUGUGACCAUGCAUUAUGCCACUUACAAUAUUUUUUACCCUUAAUUUGUUCAGAGUUUGGCAAUUUGUGCUUAUCGCUCAAUUUUAUCUGCUUAUCCCUAUAUAAUUUAUCAAAUAUAAUUUAUCAAAUAUAAGGUCAGCUUUGGUUAUGUUGAAUGAGAACGUUCUAACCUUUAUGUUUCCAUCUUUUAUAGGCUCAUCUUUGCCCGAUGGUCUAGGCUUGGCCAUUAUAGGACAAGUAUAAGUAUCCCCUUUGACCAAUUCAGCCAAACACAUUUUGGCCUGAUCGUAUGAUUCGUCGUCGAUGGUAUGAACGUCAAAAUUUGGGUCUUUGUAAUAAGUCCCUUUACUAGAAUUUUUCAUUUGUUCUUCCUCUCUUAUCAGUCGCUCAUACCUAAUAACAUUCGCACUCAACUGAAAAAGGUCAGGAAAUUCCUUGUUCUGGAACUUCUUUUUUAAAUCAAAGCUCAAGCAGUCCUGAGCGAUUUUGACAAAUUCUUUUUCGGGCAGAGGUACAAAAAAUUUGCUUCUUGCUGUCUUGAACCUUUGGAGAAAACUUUCUGCCCAUUCGUUUGGCAUUUGACGUAGGUUCGCCAAAUCAGCCAAAGUGACUUCAGACUCAGUUUUAUAAAACUGAGCAUGAAACAGCUGUUCCAAUUGUUGCCAUGUUUGAACAGAGUUCGCUGGCAAGUUGAUGAACCAGGAGAAAGCUACUCCUGUUAAUGAACUAGGGAAAAGUCUCAUUUUAGAGUAAUCGGUUACAUCACCACUUUGCAAUGUGAAUCGCCCUAUGUGUUCUAGAGUAGACACUUCUCCUAAACCGGUAAACAGUGAGAAUUUUGGCACUUUGUACCCUCUAGGCCAUGGAUAUGCUUGGUCUACCCAAUCAGGAUAUGACUUUGAUUACGUCGGCCUAAUGACGGGACGCACCCCAAAAGCCAUCUGAUCCUGUACGAUUUCCAUAAUCUGGUUCCUCAACAUGACAUUGGGAUCAUAUGGAAUUUCUACAGGCUGAUUAACCGGUUGAUUUGCAUGAGGCCUGAUAUUUGGUCCUUGAUUGGCAACAAAAUUACCAUAAUUAGGGCCAUUACCAUUAACCUGAACAUCUGUUCCCUCAUUAACACGUGGGGUCUGCUAUCCAUUGUUUAGGACAUUAUCUCUUAUGUUUGGAUUACCCCCUAAGUAAGGCAUACUACUACCAUUAUUCUGAUUUGGCACUGUAGUACCCCCUUAGUUUGAAGUAGAGGGACCAAAAAGCGGUUCUACCCCUUGAUUCGGAUUUAGGACCGAGGGAUUAUGUCCCACAAUUGUCCUAAUUUGAAAGUGGUUUGUAAGAGGUAUAGCCGUUUGACAUAUUUGGCCUACUAACCUAUUCAUUGUUUCGUUCAACGUCUUUAGUUGUUUGGCCAUGUUGUCAUAGUGUACAUUCCCAUUUUGUGUAAAUCUUUCCAUAUUAUGAAUACUUCGAAGAUUUACCUGUUCAACGACGUCUUGCGUGAGUUCUCCAAGUAAUGCACGCAUGGUUCAAGGACUCAACUCCGUCAUUGGUUCGUAACGACUGUUAUUGCUCUGUUUCUGUCCAUCUGUUCGUGGAGAAGCAUGCUGCUCCUCAUAUCAUUCGAUCACAGACUGGAUUCCUCCCUGACUUGCUGCUUCCUUAUCGGAUCUCUGAGGCAUAUUGUUUCACAUUUUGUACUUUCAACACCUAACACCACUGUCCCACUGGACGUGCCAAAUUGUUUCGCGCGGGUUAGUCGCUAACAAUUAAAAAGGAUCAGACGAUUGUGUAAGGAACAAAACCUCUUGAGACAAAGUCCCAAAAAGGGGUGUUCUUUUAUUGGCGAUGACUUUACAAGUGAAAAUGAAAAACAACGUGCCUCCAAGGAACGCAAGCACACGAGUUACUGAAAGAAAAGUGUUUUAAGUCUAAAAAUUAAGAAAAUGAAAAUUACAUGUUCUCUGUUCGAGAGUUUUGGAUUCGAUCCCUUGCUUCUAUGUCCUUUCUCCCUUUUAUACUUCAUGGACGAUCUCUUUGUGAUCAACCGCCCUAAAAACUGCUUGAUCGUCCUAUAACUGUCCACUUUUUUCGUAAUAGUCAACUUGUCAUGAAAACUGCAUUUUUUAACUGCUGCCAUUACUCUUCAUCGUUCAACCGCUUUCGAUUGAAUUCCUUGAAUCGUGGAACAUGAUGGGGCUGCUUUAAUAACUGCUUUGAUCUUGAUAACCACGACGCUUUAUACUUGUUAAGACUUUGGGCGACUUGAAGGUUUGGGCGAGAAUAGAGUAACAGCUCUGGGGGACUGUAUGACACUCCAUUCGCUCAGAUUCUGGGUGACUUGCAAACUUGGGCGAUGGCGUUACCGCGUUUUUGGGCCUCCCUAUUUGGGCCUUCAUCUUGAUUUGUUUGAUUGGGCUUCGUUUUUUGGGCUAUCUGAUUUGGGGAUCCUUCAAUUGGGUUUCACUCCUUGGGCUGUUCGAUUUGGGCUGAAUUUUUAUGUGUCAACAGCUUGCUAGUAGCUCAACUAUCUCAAGUGCUAGGGUUCGGUUAUGGGACCUCAAUCCUAAAGGUUGUAAGAGCAAAACUUAUUAUGAAUACGUACCAUAGCAGUUGAAGUGAUAAUGAUAAGAUUCUUUCUUAUAUUUCUUGUAAGAUCAUUUUAUGCAACGUGGACUCUCGAAGUAACAUGUUAUAGGUCUUUUUGCUAUGUUCGAGUUGCAUUAAAUGUUUUUUAAUUUUCUAAAUAAAAUUGAAACAUGUUUGUAAGUCAAGUUUAAAAAUAAAUAAUAUCUAUAAUUAACCAUUGACAAGAUUAAGGCCCAAAUUGGUUGGGAUAAAAAUUGGAUUUAUUUUAGAAUUUGAUAAAAGUUGGUAAAAUAUAUGAUUAAAAAAUUGAUAAAAGUUGUUGGUUUCACGAAAUAUCUGGUAAUGAGUUUGAGAGAAAAAUAACUUUUAGAAAAUGAAAGCCAAAUAGAGACUUAAUUUAAAUAAUUUUUUAUCAAGUGAAAAUUCCAAACGAGUAAAUUCUCAACACUUCAUUCAAUUUAAUUAGGAUUGUGCUAGGCCCCCCCUCAAUGUGAGGAGGGUGUAAUCUAUUGUGUUUAUGGUGUACACAUGGAAUAAUCCAUUUAAUUAACAUAUCAAAACAAAAUCCUUAAUAACCUUAAUCAUCCAAGUCCAUUUGUUACAUUCAAAUCUCACAAUUCUUAUAAAUUAUACGAUACUUCCUUUAAGAGAAUGUUUAAAAAUUGUUUAUAAAAAGUUUAAAUUAUAAAUAAAUAAAAAUAAAUUUAUGAAUGUCUCGAAAUUUAUGAAUAAAAAUUGACUUAUUUAUAAAUGAUUUAUAAAUAUGAGUCAAACAUGGUUUUGUUGGUUAAAUAUCAUAAUCAGUAUAGCCAUUCUUCUUACUGUUUUUCCACUAGCAUCAAGAAAAAUUUUAUAAUGUGAAAAUUACACUAAAUGUCAAGUUUUGGGUUUGUAUUUACAGAAAUGUCAUUUUUUAAAAGGGAAUACGAAAUUGUCAUUUUUGAAGAUUUUUGGACAUUUACGCCCCUCUUAAAAAUUUCAAUACCUUGUAUAUCCUUCAUUAAUGAGACAUGACUAGAUGAGAAAUUUGAAUACCAAAUUAGCCUUUCUCUCUUCCAUUAUUGUUCCUCACGUUCUCUCUCUCUCCCCGUUCGGUCUCCCCAUCAUCUGACGGUCAGAGGAAGUCCGGCAGCUGCUGAGCACCUUCGGCGUGAUUAAACGUCGAUCUGCUGCCACGAAGUCGCCGACGCUGAGCCUCCACCCUCGGCGACUACUGUCACUCUAAACCCCUCUCUCUCGCUCUCUCUUUGUCUCUCUUUGUUUACUUAUUUUUUACUUCCUGUUUUAUUGCCAUUACAUUAGGCUAAUUUAAGAUUUUGUUUUUACAGAGUGAUCUAUUGAAGGUCUCUUUAAUGACAAGGCCAAUAUGCCAUUUUCAUUAUGUCAUUUGGUAGGUGAAUAAUAAUGACCACACUUAAUAGAUCACUCUGUAAAAACAAAAUCUUAAAUUAGCCUAAUGUAAUGGCAAUAAAACAGGAAGUAAAAAAUAAGUAAACAAAGAGAGACAAAGAGAGAGCGAGAGAGAGGGGUUUAGAGUGACAGUAGUCGCCGAGGGUGGAGGCUCAGCGUCGGCGACUUCGUGGCAGCAGAUCGACGUUUAAUCACGCCGAAGGUGCUCAGCAGCUGCCGGACUUCCUCUGACCGUCAGAUGAUGGGGAGACCGAACGGGGAGAGAGAGAGAACGUGAGGAACAAUAAUGGAAGAGAGAAAGGCUAAUUUGGUAUUCAAAUUUCUCAUCUAGUCAUGUCUCAUUAAUGAAGGAUAUACAAGGUAUUGAAAUUUUUAAGAGGGGCGUAAAUGUCCAAAAAUCUUCAAAAAUGACAAUUUCGUAUUCCCUUUUAAAAAAUGACAUUUCUGUAAAUACAAACCCAAAACUUGACAUUUAGUGUAAUUUNNNNNNNNNNNNNNNNNNNNNNNNNNNNNNNNNNNNNNNNNNNNNNNNNNNNNNNNNNNNNNNNNNNNNNNNNNNNNNNNNNNNNNNNNNNNNNNNNNNNNNNNNNNNNNNNNNNNNNNNNNNNNNNNNNNNNNNNNNNNNNNNNNNNNNNNNNNNNNNNNNNUCUAUUCAAACACAUACAGAAAUGAGAGAAAAGUGAUGUUGCUCCAUAAGAAUACCAAAUAAACUAUCAAAGGUUAUCUUUCCCCGAAUCUCAAAAUGAAAAAGAAAUUAUUUUCUCACGUUCAUCAUACACGUUAACCCGUGAUCUUACCUCCAUGAUAUUCUGAUGAGAGAGAAACUUAAUGGCAUCAACAAAUAUUUAUUUUAAAACCAGAUGCUCUACUGUUCAUUGACCCUCUGUUUCAAAGAAAUGAAAUUAACUCCUUGCGCCAUAUUCCUAAAUUUAACAUCCGGAGUCUAAGUAAAGGAGAUUGCCAAUCUCUAGAACCUGGCACUGUUUUAUUGGUUAUUUGGGUCUCUCAGAAUUGGGAAUUUAAUAAACUGGAGGCAAUUGGCAAAGCUGCUCAUAUACCAUUAAAUACCAUAUAAAACAUAUGGCUCCCCUAACACAUUAAACAUAUUUCCCACCUCACCACAAUUAUAUUAAAAACUGAGAUAUGUACCUGGAAUUUUGGUAAUUAGAGCUCGAGCUUUCUCAGCAUGCUUUAGCAUAAGAUGGGUACCUCUCCCAGCAUUAUAAUGAUAUUCAUCGUAAAUUAGGAUCAUUUUAGAUAGCGAGUAAGAGAGAUGAAAAUAGAUAAAAACAGUAGUACAAGUCAUUUCACUUGAGCAACAUAUAUCCCACGCUAUUAUACUCCUCCAGCCAGCACUCCUCUUCACAAGCAGCCAACCAUUUUUAAAGUUUUUCAAGUAUAUCUUUUCUACUGAAAGCUUCUUCUUUAACCUUGGAACUAUGCAUCUCCAGUUGUUCCAGUAGGGAAGAAGUAUGUUUUGGGUUAGUAACAACUACUUUAUUGACCACCAACUGUUCUUACUAAUUUUGUACAAUAAAAUAAUUUGCUUGUUAGAUUUAAUGUGGAAUAAGCUUGUGGUUUAGAAAUAUGCAUUACAAAUUGUAUGGGUUUUUAAGGAAACAUAUGCAACUUUAGCAAGUCUGAGGGGGGUUAUACUGUGUAAAUAGGACAAGCACAGGGUUUUAAAUUUCUACAUAUUAGCCGUAAACAACUCAUUCCAUUGGUUCAAAUAUUGGUCUUUUCUUUGCAGUUGCAGUUAUUUUUUGUUUUGUAUGAUCAAAAUAUGUUAAUAACCAGGAAACAUAUUCAAAACAGGAUUUCCCGACAGUUCAUCUAUACAUAAUUGUUUCUCAACUGUCGUACCCGACAGUUAUCCUCUGUAAUUCUCGACAGAUGAACCGUCGACGGAUAAAAUGUCGGGACCGGCAGUUCAGUUCCUGCCUGCCUAGGGCCUACCAGUAGAAAAUGAUAUUUCUAUGUGAUAUGCGUUCAGAUAUAAGUAUUCCUUUUAUUUUUUGCAUGCAACAAUUUAUGAUGUGGAAAUCAUGUUUAAUGUGGGAAUAUCUUCCGUUUCAAUGCUGGGAGGAAGUUUAUAAUGUGGUAUGACGCAAUUUUUUCUUAUUUUGUCUUUGUAGACAUGGAUUUCGAGCCUCUUGUUCUAAAGAAUGCACGCUUGCGGGGCCACGUAUCGCAGAGAAGCAAUCUGCGGUAUAUAAAAAUAGUCGUGGAACAUUUUGACGAGCGACAGCGGGAAGAGUUUCGCAACUCAUGCCUUGGGUUCUUGUCCGAGGUUCCAGAUCUCCAGUUCUCUGCCCAAUUAAUCCAACAACUCGUAUUCUGCUGCAUACAAACAAAGAAGCGGCACGAACUGUGGUUUAAUUUGUAAGGCCACCUCGCUAGGUUCGGAAUUCAAGAAUAUGCCAUUGUGACUGGAUUAAGGUGUGGUCUUCUCCCGAAUGACAAUGUCAUGGACCGAGUUCUUGAGAAGAGGAGACUAAAGGACAAAUACUUUAAACAUGUGGACAAGAUUUCUUGCACCCAACUCGAGCAGACAUUUCUUCGAUCGUCAACGCCUCGAGCCGAUCGGUACAAGCUUGGCCUCGCUUUGAUCAUCGAAGGAGUCUUCAAUGCUCCGGAUAACAACGUUGGUAUCGAUAUGGAGACGUUGUCGAUCGUCGACGAUCUAGACUUGUUCUUUUCGUAUCCUUGGGGUAGAAUCUCUUACGGACGUCUGAUAAAGGGCUUUCGGGGCCGUUGGGCAAGAAAAUUUUUGGAUGCGACGAAGAAGAAGGAGAAGGCGGUUAGCUACACGGUCCACGGCUUUCCCAUUACCAUACAUGUAUCUUUAUUUUACCUACAAAUUAUUUCAAUGCAAAUGUAUUUCGUGGUUUGUUUCGUUCUAAACUGACAUUCCUUUUUUACUCUAACAGAUAUGGGCGUUCGAGGCGGUGCCUGAAAUUGGUGAUCGCUUCGGUGAGCGUCUUGGGGAACGUUCCCCACGGCUUCUCGGCUGGACAUCAACAAAACAGCCGCAGCAGCGUACGUACGACGCUUUCUUCAAGAAUGUACAGGUAAAAAAUUAUGUUACUUCUACGAUCUCAUACCUUGCAUUCGUCAUUGUAGCAUGUGGUUAUUUCGUAACAAAUAUGUUCAUGUUGUAGCUACACGUGUACGCGACACUGCGGCCCACCGAGACUGAGUGUGGGCAACCUCAUAUCGCAACUCUUGUGCCGCUCAAUGAUGAUCCUGUCCCUGCGUUGGAUGACCAUGCUAGGGACAGUGUUGCUCCGCAGUUCCAAGCAGAGCGUAUAGGCACCCCCGAGGGUGAUACUUCUGAGGAGGCCCAUGACGUUGGCGGGACCAGUGGUGAGGAGGAGUUAGGAGCUGAUGAGAGCGGAGAGGAAGAAGGUGGGGACUCGGAGGAGGACGACAGUGAGGAUAGUGAUGGUGAUCGAGUUGGACGAAGUGGACAAACGGGGACUCCCCCCCAGCAUAGAGCUACUUCUCCCAUGGCACCGUCCACCUCUCAUGUACGACCUACUGCAGCGGCUGCAUCAAGUCUCACAGCAGACGAUGUUCAGGGGAUGUUGCUAGAUCAAAGAAUUCUGUUCGAAAUGCGGCUCCGCACUGUGAAGCUCGAACUCAUGCAGCACAUGUCAGAUGAAUUUAAAAACUUGAAGGACUUCAUAUCCACCCUAGUCCCAGCAUUCGGCUCUACAACCACUGCAUGUGCGACUGAUGUCGACCCCGAGCCCAGACAAUCAGGUACUUCACCGUAUGCGUAUUACAGUUCUUUAUGACAAUGUUCACUUUAUCCCUGCUCACUGACAUGUUCUGUACGACAAUUGUUCAUUCAUUGUAGACUACGGAGGCUUUGCAGGCCACCACCCAUCGCCUGACGGUAUCGACAAAGACAUGGGGAUUGACAGGCAAGAGGGGGAUGGUAUGUGCAUUAAUGAAAAACACAUGGAGCCAUGCCUGGACGAGCAGGAUAUGCCACUGGCCACUGGAACCGAAAGUGUGGAAAGUACGUCGGUUACUUUUGAGCAAAUUGAUUAAUUAUCAUUUCAUGUGUUUCGGAAGUUUUGAAAAUUGUUAAAAUUCACUUUCUAUUCGCUGUUUCGUUAUUGUUCUGAAUAGACAUAGCGCACAUUCAGCCGUGCCCGGAGGAUCGCCCCGUGCCAGAGCCCUCUACAAUCGAAGAAGUGCAAGGUAUUGCAUUAUUUUUCACGAUUUCAACAAAUAUUAUUUCAGGCAUUCGAUUAGUUUACAAUUGUUCAUUUGUUGUAGUCGAAGGGGCCCACCACCCAUCGCCUGGCGACUGUGAGAAAGAAAAGGACAUGGUGUCUACUGGAACCAUAAAUUUGCAAGGUAUGUGGGUCAUUUAUGAGGAAAACUUGUAGGUUGUUAUUUCAUGUACUUGGCAUAAUUUGAAAAUUCGUACAUGUAGUUAUACACUGAAAAUAUUUAAUUGUUCUUUUCGACAGACACAGUACACAUUGAGCCAUGCCCUGACAAUGACCUCGUGCUAGCGCUUGUUGCAGUGGAUGAAGUGCAAGGUAUUGCCUUCAUUUCUGACAAUUGAAUUUAAUUUUCAUUUUCAGUUGCUUACGUUGUAACUUUCCCAGUUCCCGCCGAUGUUGCCCGACCAGGACGGGUAGUUACAACAAAUAGACGGAGAUCCGCACGACUGCGACGUCCGGCACCUGCUACUAGGACUCCGUACACGAGGGGGAGCGCAAAGCAAAAACAUUAAUACUUGUGGAUAAAUUGCCGAACAUAGCACGAUGACGGGGUUCAGCAUGCUUUUGUAUUUUGUUUGAUGUAAUUUACGUGGUGAAGGAUGUUAGUUACUUCGCGUUAUAUUGGUGCCUUGUUCAUUCAUUUUUGUAAUUUACAUAUCAGACAGGGUUGGCAAGCUUGGUGACACUUAGAAGCAUUCAUCACAUUUUGCAAUUCCCGUGGUGAAUGCCUUGUCACCGUUUACCGUUGCUGAAAUUAUUAUAGUGUUAGAACUUGCAUUAGUUAUCCGGCUUUAUUAUAUUAUGUCAAUCGUACUUACGGUACUAAGUGCCUUCAUUCAAUGUUCAUCAACGCUCGUACAUUGUAUUGCGCAAAAAAUUAUGUAUGCGUACAUUUAUUCUUCUUCAUUUAUUCUGCAGUUUACCAAAAUUCAAAAUUAUACAAUCUUUACUGCAAUGCACGUUUUCGUCAACUGUCGAGAAGGAAGAAAACAUCUGUCGGGCCCGACAGUUCAACUAGGCGGGCCAUUAAAUUUUAUAACUUCCUUGCGUUUCGAUAAUUGAAAAUGGUGGGAUUGUCCAAUACAAGUGUGUUAGUGUAACAUGCUAUUGUAGAUAUUAUACGUUUCUGAUUUUUUGCAAGUAACAAGUAUUUCCAAUACAUUUAUACUAUCAUAAUGAAUGCAUUACAAGCAUUGUCUAUCAAAUUACAUUUCGUAUGUCAUUAAAGCUGUUGUGAGGCUUCCAUUUUGAAACAGGUAGUUGAUACGAGAUAAUGGGUUCAUCCACCUCUAGCAAUGAAACAUUCAACUCCAAUAUGCAUCCACCCAUACUGGGUUCAUUCGCUGAGUUUCCCAUCGUUUUGUUGUCAGACGAUGAGGAUGUAAGAGUUGAACUGCAUGGUGCCGAGUUUGACGUAAUGUCAAGUGCAGAAUCUAAGUCACUGAACAGCGUUCUCGAUCAAGUCUUCGAGGUUAGGGGCCCGGUCAAGUCACCGUCCGACUCGAAUGAGUGGGUGCCUCAUGUUCCACCUCCAGAUGUAAUUGUCAUUAGUUCAGACGAGUCUAAUGGGAAAAGUGGGGGAGCUUCUUACAUUGUCAAAAGCAGUGCAACUGUGCAAUAAAUGGCCCUUUUGUACGAAAAUAUGUUUACUAUUUUGUGGUAUGGAUGAUUUUGGUCACGUUCUCUGGAUACGUGCAGAAACUGCAUCUCCAUAAUAGGCAACCGCAGUAGUGUAGGUUUUCAAGCCGCUGUUGUUCCCAACUGUCGAGAAUUACAGAGACUAUCUCUCGGGAACGACAUAUGAACUGUCAAGACGUAAUGUUGGUGUUUUGUUUGUUCAGUAUGGUCUCAUGAAAAUCAGUUUUCCAUUUCGACGAACUGUCAGUCGAAGCUAAUGAAACUUCUAUGAUCGGCUAAGUUUAUAGUACGAAAAAGGUAUUCAUCUCAUUCGUGAUAAUGGAACUGUAAUGAUCGGUACUUUGCUUGCGGAACAUAACGACCAAAUUUGCACUGGCAUAUGAUAAUAAUAACAGAUUCAUAAAAUAAGUUCGGAAUGUACAAUGCAUAUUUAAAUUAAGUUUUUCGGGGAUUACAUUUGACAACCACUUUUACAGAUCACGCUUCUUCAAGUGGCUUGUGAUACAAUAGGGUUCGAACAUGUGGUCCGGUUAUGACCAAGUCUCCCACAUCGAGUGCAUUUCCUCAGUUGGGAAGUGGACUAGUAUCUAGCUCGCUUACGUCGCGUCGGUGGUCUACCUGGAGGACGACGUACGGUCGGUGGCAAAAUAUGAGUGCCUAGGAUUUCAUUUGGAACAACCCAAUCCACUUCCCGUGUAACGGGAUAUAUGACUUCCAUAUAGGCACCCCUCCAGUAUUCCGAUGUAUAGUACGGAGAGCAUAGAUCGUAUAAUGACUUACCACUCAGGGUAGCCCCACGAGUUGCAUGAGCACAUGGCAUACGAUUUAGUUGAAACUCACGACAUGUGCACGUGUUAUCGGAGAAGUCCACUAUCUCCGUAUCGUUGGAUAUUCCAACCUGGGUCAAGCUGUUUGUCAACUGAUGGGCUCGAAGCCUAGUACCAGCUUCAAAUGUUGUUUGUAACUCGUUCUCCAUCCUCGACGAUAAUAUAGUACUACAUGCGGUUGCAUUGCUUCGACGUUCGUAAAACCACCUCUGCAUUGUUUUACGAAUGUGCUCGACCAAACACGUGAUUGGCAACGAACGAGCAUGUCUCAGCAUUGAUGGGCUCGAAGAAGCCUAGUACCAGCUUCAAAUGUUUGUAACUCGUUCUCCAUCCUCGACGAUAAUAUAGUACUACAUGCGGUUGCAUUGCUUCGACGUUCGUAAAACCACCUCUGCAUUAUUUUACGAAUGUGCUCGACCAAACACGUGAUUGGCAACGAACGAGCAUGUCUCAGCAUCGAGUUCAAUGAUUCCGCGUUGUUGUUUGUCAUAAUGUUGUAUCGGUCUCCCACGAAUAGUGCUCGUGACCAGAAUGAAAAACCGGCUUUCUCCAAAUACCUGUAACAUCUUUCACUCACCCUACGAAUCUGUCCCAUUAGUCGUUCGAACUCUUCGACCCGAUAAGUCGUAGCAGCUCGUUUGAACAGGAAUAUUGAACUUGCGUUAAAGUGCCGCCGAAUUAGGUUCUUCUCCACAUGCCACAUACAACAACAAUGACGAGACAAAGGAAAUAAGUGAGUAAUAACUCUUUCGAUACUUCUUUUCCUGUCCGAAACAAAUACAAGUUCAUCUGAGUCUCCUAUAAGAUCUUUCAAGUUAGACAUAAACCACAUCCAAGAUCGGUUCGUUUCGGAAUCCACAAUCCCCCACGCUAAGGGAUAAAUCUGUUUGUUUGCAUCUUGGGCAGUUGCCAGUAAAAGUGUACCCUUGUAUGGACCUUUCAAGUAACUACCGUCAACGCAAACUGCGGGCCUCAAGUACUGCAUGUAACCACGAAUGCUUGCACCAAAAGUUAGGAAGAAGUAAUGGAAUCUAUCGCGAGAAUCAAGUUCGAUGUGGGUUAUUCUCACCUAGUACGUGACAGUAUGAAGAUAAUUUCUGAAAACUGUCCUCCGGUGUCCCAUGCAGCAUAUGUAAAGCGGCCACCUUUCCCCUACGUGCCUUGCUGUAACUUAUUUGGACACCGAGCUCACGUUCCAUGUCACGUGCAAUAGUGCUCGGAUCAUACGAUCGGUUCGGAUUAUCCAGUUUUUCGAAAAUAUGCUCAGCAAUUACAGCACUCGUCACAUGUCAUACGCAUUACUGCGAAAGUCAAUGGAACAUGUGUGCACAUUAUUGAAUUUACGGAUCACAAAGAUUGCAGACUGCCUCACAGUAGAAGCACGUAACAUCCACUUGCAACUGCGGUCGGCGCAUACAACGGUUAACAUCUUCAUGCUUGAUCGGCUCACCCGAAAUUGGAACUUGUUUUUCAAAGCAAGUGCACGAAUUUUUGAGUACAACUCUUUCUUGCUGAAGAAUAUUUCCUUUUCAGCAAGAUCGGAUGUAGUCACAGUUCUCAUAAAUUCAUAUCCAUCUGAAUCGUUCGAAUGUGACAAAGAGUGCUCGUCCUCGACGUCAACAGAAUUAGCAGCCUCUAAACUAGGUGAUGGGUUAUCCAAGUUCUCAUCUAAUGGUGCACUCCCGUUAUCAUACUCAUGUGUUUCAAGUACAUUAUUGUUUGAGACACUAUGCAUUCGAUUCACCAAAUCAUGUUCCACAUUUUGCUGAACAUCUACCGCGGCAAACGAAGGAUCUUCAAAAUUCGCGUCCCUUCCCAUGUCAACACUUGGGAGAUCGGAUUCCAAAACAGUAACGCAGAUAGCACUUUCCUUAUGCACUGAUACGUACCAAUUUAAGUCUUCAUUGUCGCAUAUUUCAGCCGGAGGUAUAUUCAAGUUAGGGACUUUGAACUUCAAUUCAAUUUGAGCGCGGGGAUCAAGAAUACCAAGUUUCUCCUUCAACCUUAACAUAAGUUCGGCUACGGUAAUACUUCUUGGCACCAGAAUGAAAGUAGUUUUGUCCCCUCUCCACUUCCAUUCGUCAUCCGCAUGAACAAAAUUUCCCCCAUGCGACACGACGAAUUUCAAAUGAUUAUUCAUACCUGAAAUGUUGGGAUUGCAAUGGUAACAAUUCGGAAUCAAUAUGUUGGCAUUUAAUAGCAUGAAACUCACACUUCAUAAUACGUAAAUCAGUACAAUAACAAAAGUUCAAAUCAAGGUUUUGUAUCGUUUUGAAGUAUCCAAAUUGAAAGUAAUAUUCUAUAACUCGGCAGUUUCGAAAUGUCAGGUUCGACAUCUCAAACGUCUAACCCGACGAUUUGUAAAUGUCGAACUCGACAGUUUAACUAUCGAGAAUGUCGGGAAGCAGACGGCAGUGAAUUUCUGAGGUUUCUUCAACACAUCAUAUUAAGUGUGGUCAUUAUUAUUCACCUACCAAAUGACAUAAUGAAAAUGGCAUAUUGGCCUUAUCAUUAAAGAGACCUUAAUGGUGGUAAUGGAAAAAAUUACUCAAUGGUGAUAAUGACAUUUUAUUAAGGAUUCAAAAAAAAUUAAACAAAUGAAUGCAUAAUACUUUCAAAGUAAUUUCAAAUAAAUAUGCCCAUGUUAUAUUUAAUAUGUACAAAUACAAAGUUAUAAAAGUAAUAUAAAUUAAUUUGUAAUUGCUAACCUCUCAAAGUGGAUAGAAUGCAACACAAAUGUCUUCUUGAUCAAUGAAAAUGAAGAAGAUGGAAAAGAGGUAAAGUUUCUUGUUUUUAUUUCGUUUUCUAAUUUAUUUGGUAAUUUUUUAUUAACAAAAAUUCAUAUUAAUCAAUAAAAUACACAUUUAUCAAUGUUUUCUAUCAAGUCAAUGAUUUUCCUUCACAUCAAGCAUUUAAUGCUAUUAGAAAUGUGUGAUUAACGGUAUUUUGGACUUUGCACCCCAAAAAUGUGACAUUUUUGCUCACAAAAAGUGAAAAUGACAUUUUUUUUUUAACUUUCAUUUCUGGUGACAAUUUUGUACAUUCCCCAAAAAUAAUUCAAUGUUGCUACACGUACAAUUACCCUUACAGCUUGGAUGACAGUGCUGACAUGGAAAAUGGGGGCAAAAAAAAUAAGAAGGAAAACACCAAAAGCAGCCCAACUCGGUCCCCUUUUGAAGACCCUAUUUUCAACCUAAUACCCUAAUCUCACUCCAGCAUUACAAAGACAAAGCUCUCUCACUGCACCACUAUUGCAAAAACGCAUGAAGCUCUCUCACUGCACCACUGCUGCAAAAACUCUGGCGUCCGUUUCUUCUUGAAGCUGUAGGGAAUUUUAUCCCGCUCACCGAUAUACCGCCGGCCAGUAAAAUCGUCAUUCCACCGUCUUGAUCGACAACCCACCAAAUACCUCUUUCGUCUUUCGUAACAAAAAAGAAGGUGACAUAUUUUUGAUUUCUCUACCAUUUAAUUUUUUACACUUGACGUCCGGCCAACGGUCUUGUACGGCUUAGGUUGUCUGGCCAUUUUUUCUGUUCGAGAGUUUUGUUAUCAAUUUCAAAUUUGAAAAUUGUGUGGGUUGGUCGUCAAUAGUAAAGGGAAAUGUAGUUUUCCAAUCUAGAUUGUUAUCAAUUUCAAAAUAGUAUGGGUUGUUAUCAAUUUCAAAUUUCAAAAAUUCAAGAGUUUUGUUACUCUUCUGGAUUUCUAAAGUGAUGAAAGCAAGAUUGCAUUACACAAUCGUCUUUAGCUAUAGUUUGCAUCUUUUUCUCGUUUAAUUGCCAGGAAUAAUAGUGAACGGAAAUGUAGUUUUCCAAUCUGCCGACCAGAUGUUUGAUGAAAUGCCCGAGUAGAAAAUUUCUUGUAACUUCAAAUGCUGAAUUCAACUAAAAAAAUAUGAGAUAUCCACAAAAAGGCAAAUCAAGUUUGAGUGUGGUCAUGCUUCUUAAUUGGGUUAAUAUUCUUAGCCAACGUUUUGAACUUAAACUAGAAACACUGCAGUUUUGGUUUCAAGCAUUUGUUCAAUUGGAAUCCUUCCACUGAAAUUAAGAUGGAAUUUCGUUGAUAUGGUCAGACCUUUUAGGUCUUCUUAUUGCAAUGAAAAAUGC
rnacentral:lncRNA from 1 species